UUUUUUUUUGUCUGCAACGAAUUCUAGUGCUGUGUAUAUUGGUUUUUAGUUAAUCCUAGAUUAAGUUUACCAAACGUACUUGCAUUACAACAAGUGGACUUACAGGCUAAAGAGUUAGGUUAAAUUAGAAUAGUAGCAGUAACCAAACAUAGCUGAACGAAGAAGCCUUGAUUUUAUCAUGGCAAACCGUACUGCAUAUGUACCGAUGAAAGGAUGUGCUGUGGUGCUCUCGGUGUACGGCUUUAUUGUGCUAAUAAAUCUGCUGAUACUACGCUAGCUACUAUACAUGUUGUAGCGCAGUGGUGAACAAUGAUUUCUACACCUGCCCCCAAUCCAUUAUUGAGGGUGUAAUUACGGAAAUGAAUGGCCAAGUAGGUGCAGUGCUCAUUGUGUCCUGUCCUCCUCAAUUAAAUUAAGGGUAUACAGUAAUUUUCCAAGCUAUAUCGAUCUGCUUCCAGCUCCAUAUAUAGAUCUUCUAGAAGAAACUCUGCAUCGCAUAAGACUGGGCUCACUCUAGCUACCAUCGUAUGAAGUUCUAAUAUCGGGAGCAUAACCAUAGAAACUACAUUGAUAGCAUGCAUGUACUCAGGGUUCCAAAUUUCCCGCUGAAAUUUUAUGAAUUUCGAUAAUUUCAGUGGCGACCGAAAGAAAAUUCCGAAAUUUACUAUUUGACUUGUCCAUACGCUUUAUUGUAAACAUAGUACUCUAGAUUCAUAUUUUCUAUUAUUAUUUAUGUUGCAUAUUCUUCCGUGUAUAUCCAUAAAUCAUACUAAUCAUUUGUUCAGAUCCAAAAAAGUUUGGUAAAGAUUCUAAAAACGUUUCAGCAAAAUUUCAGUUGAUUUCGUGAAUUUCGGAGGUGAUUGAAAAAAUCCGAAACUGAAAUUGUAAACCCUGCAUGUACUUAGAUUCUAGCUUUUCUAUUGAAUAGGCACCAUUGUUCCUCCACCAUGUGUGUUUUUGUUUGUUGUAAUAAGGGUGUUUCUCUUGGAUGUGUUCAUGGAGGUAGGACGAUGCGUGCAUGUAUAUAUUACUUUAUGUGUCCUACUUCAAAAUCCAAUGAAUUUAUGAGCCUAAGAAAAUGUUUUCCAAGACAAAUUGGCAUUUAAACUUCUGUAUUUCAAAACAAAAUACUUUAAAAAUUUUAUUUGAACUCGAAUUCUAAAAAGAUUGGUUGCACUACAAGGUUUUGUUACUAGCGCAACGGCACGAAAUCGUUGCAAUAGGGGUCAUUUCGUUGCAAUAGGGGUCUAUUGCAACGAUUUCGUGUCGUGGCACUAAAAAUCAUGUCAUCGUGUAAAAAGGCGUUGCAAUAUGCUAUUACAAUGACACAGGCAGCCGUCGCAAUAAGGUUGCAUUAUUGCGACGACGUGUGUCAUCGCAAUAAGUGGAUAUUACAACGCCCAUUGUUAUUGCAAUAGUGGCUAUUGCAACGGUAGGUGUCGUUACUAUAGAGGCUAUUGCAACGACAUUGCGCUGUUGCAAACAAGCGAUAAUGCAACGUAAGGAUGUUUAUUGCAAUACGAGAUCUAUGCUGUUGCAAUAUGCUAACAGGCUAUCUCAACGAAAUACUAGUCGUGGCUAUAUGCGUCAACCGUAUCCCAACGAAAUAUGGGUCGUCGCUAUAUACUCAAUGGAUAUCGCAACGGCGAGAAAGCGUCGUAAUAGGCGUACAAGGUAUCGCAACGAUGUGCGUGCUGUCGUUAUAUGCUUCAACCAUAUCGUCACAAAAUGUGUCGUGGUUAUACGCUCAAUGGAUAUAGCAACGACGUAAAAUCGUUGCAAUAGGUGGUACAAGGUAUCGUAACGAUGUUUAACAGUGGUUAUAUGUUUCAACCAUAUCGCAACGACAUAUGCUGUGGUUAUACGCUCAAUGGAUAUAGCAACGACGUGAAAUCGUUGCAAUAGGGGUACAAGGUAUCGCAACGAUGUACGUGCCGUCGUGAUAUGCUUCAACCAUAUCGCAACGGAGUAUGUCGUGGUUAUAUGCGUACAGGGUAUUGCCACACAAUAUGGGAUGUGGUUAUACGCUUAAUGAAUAUCGCAACGGAAAAUAUGUCGUCGUCAUAUGCUUGUUGGUCGUCGGCUAAAACGGAAAAUCCAAAACAAUAAUUGAUGCCACAUAUAUAUCAUUAAUUAAAUCAAUCCAUCGUUCAUGCACACCAUUCAUGAUAAAACAGAAUAUUCGACACAUGAAUAACCUCCUGAAUAACCUAAAAAAAAUAUAGGUUCAUAUUAUUACUAUCAACUAGUAUUAUAAAAACUGAAUCAAUAUAUGUACUAAUAAUUGAAUAACUCAAGUUUUUCAGCAUGCAUAUUAAUUAAUUAAUUAAUUGCGAUAGGUCUGGAUUGAUUUUAUACCUUGCAUUGAGAGGAUGGAAUCGGACAAUGCCCGUGUCAUCCCGCGCGUCGAGAAAUCGUAGAGGACUAACAAGGGGACCCUUCAAUUCCUUGGCACUCGACAACUCGCGAGCUAGGGAUCGGAAGACGACGUAUGGCAGGCAGCGACCGCGCGAUGAAGGGAAGGAGUCGUGCGAAGAAGGAGGGGAGGCGACGAGAACGUGGAGGACUAACAAGGGGACUCUUCCUUGGCACUCGGAAACUCACAUGCUAGGGAAGACGAUGGUAGGCGGCGGUCGCGCGGUAGCAUCACGCGAGGAGAAGCGGAGGAGAGGAGUCGUGCGAAGAAGGAGGGGAGGCGACGCUAGGACGACAUAGACCAAGAUUAGACCUCUCAGCUUGUGAAAGAAAGGCCUGCCAUAUGUGUGGGCCAAAAUAAAGGCCCACGAACAUAACCAAGCUAGCGGCACCCACAAACUCAUCUAUUGCAACUAUGCGUUCCCCUAUGUUGCAACGACUAUAUAUUAUUGCAAUAGCACCUCCUGUACAGCAACGGUUUCAGUAUUUGUUGCCAUAACCAAGAUUUCUUUUGCAACAAUACCAUUUUCGUUGCUAUAUCUAAUACUAGUUGCAACGAUUCAUAUUAGCGCUACAAUAUCUAAGACUCAUUUGCAACAUUCUAUAUUUUCAUUGCAAUAACCAAGAUUUCUUUUGCAACCACACUAUUUUCGUUGUAAUAACCAAGAUAUCUUUUGUAACAACACUAGGUUCGUUGCUAUAUCUAAGACUCUUUUGCAACGCACGAUAGUACUUAUCGCAACGUGUUAUAAUCGUUGCAAUAUGGACAACUAAUUGCCACCACUAUAAAAUAGCGUGGCAAUACGUCGCCGCAAUUACAACCAACAAAUAUUUGUUGCGAUAUAGCGUGCCUAUUGCAACGACUAAGUUGUUAUCGCAAGGCUACACAAAUGGUGGCAUUAUGACACACCUAUUGCAAACAAAACGGACUAUUGUCGUAAUAACCCCUAUAUAUUGCAAUGAAAGUCGCCUGUUGCAAAAAAGAUUGGUCGCAUUAGUGACAAAACCUUGUAGUGUUGGGGUCUCUCCAAAAUGCUAAGUACUCUGUAUUGGAGCGAGGAGAGAGGUUAGUAUAAACUAGUCUCACAUACCGUUGUGCGACAAUAGUGGCAUGUAAGGGAACAAAAUUUUUAAAUAAUGCCCAUGAAAAGAAAGCGAAUAAAGGGAUCGCUAAAAUUUCCAGUGACAUUCAAGAAAUUUAAUUUUCUCUACUACAAACUUGUUAUUUGAUCUUGCCAGAGAGUUGAAAAUCUGUUUCCGUUUGGAGCAUACCAAUGUUUUCAUCCAACAAAUACGCAGCGGAGAAUUAGUUUUAAAAGAUGUUUAAACCAAAUCAGUUGAAAUUUAGAUUUGUUAAGCAAAUAAGCAGCAGUGAUUUCAUCCUCAAAGAUUUCAUCUCUCCACAUUCUGUUUUGUUUCAGGCCCGUCGAGCCCUGCGCGCGCUGCGCGGCCUAGUGCGGCUGCAGGCGCUGGUGCGCGGCCACCAGGUGCGGCGGCAGGUCCACCUCACCAUGCGCUGCAUGCAGGCCCUCGUCCGCGCCCAGGCCCGCGUCCGGGCGCGCCGCCUCACCGACCUCCCGCUCCUCCUCCCGCCGCCGACCCCUCCAGCCACGGCCAGCCGCCCCUCCCUGUCCCUGCCGGGAGCAGCACGCCAUCACCACCAGCCGUGCCUCGACCUGGCGUCGGUGGGCGGCGGUGACCACGACGCCAGCGACGACGGCGAGGUGGCAGCGGACCUGCUGCUUCUGCAGCAGCGGAGCAGGAGCAGGGGCAGGCUCGGCCGCGGCGACGACGUCAACGGCGGCGGAGGGAGGAGCCCUUCUUCCGCCGGCGGCUGGGACGGGAGCAGCCGCACCCUGGAGGACGCCAGGGCCGAGGGCGCCCGCCGCCACGACGCCGCCGCGCGCCGAGAACGGGCGCUUGCCUACGCCUACGCGUACCAGCAGCGGCAGUGGCAGCGGCAGGAGGACGAGAAGGCCGGCCUGGGCUUCCACUGGCUCGAGCGCUGGAUGGCCGCCACGCAGCGGCAGCCGGACGCGCCGGACCACGCAAUGACGACGCACCAGGGCGCCGCCACCAGGACGACGGCGUCCUACGCCUACGUGACGGCGGCCAGUGCUUUCUCCGGCGGCGUGCCGGAGAAGACGGCGGAGGUGGACACGUCGCUCCGGAGCCAGCUCAACCAGGCCGCGCACGGGCGGCGGCCGCCGGCGAUCCCGGGCUACAUGGCCGCGACGAGGUCGGCACGCGCCAAGGCGCGACCCGCGCCGCCGAUGCCGACCACGCCGACGCACGGCAGGAGCCGCUCCGGCGGCGGGCUCGCCGGGGACACGUCGAGUUCGGGCCAGAACGGCAGCGCACUCGCCGGAUACAGCCCGGACUCGAGCUGCACGGGGGACUGGACGCCGCCGCGGCUCGGCGUCAGCACGCGCCCGAGCAGGGUGGCCUAUACUUGAGCUCGACUUGAGCCUGGCCUUCAAGACAAAACCCAUUGCGUCGUCAUGAGUCUUUGGGACGUGUUCGCGACUCAUUUUUGAAUGUUUUUGUUGUUCGCGACGUAUGUAACUACUAUGUAUAGCUUGAUGUGUUUGCGCCGGUGCCUCGUGCCUCUGUAAACGCCUGAGCCUGAAUACUUGGCUAAAGGAUUGCGAACAAAAACUCGAGAAUUCUAAAUGAGUGGUUAUUAUGGAUGAAUUGAGAUCGAAGCUUUUGUUUAUCUUCUUCCAAACGAUGAUUCUGUCGUUUAUAUCGUACUAGUUUGUUUCUUUCUUGGCCCCAAAGCAGAUUUUUUGACUUCUGAAUAAUAUUUGGAGAACAAAGUUGUGUCCUCUGAAUCCAUACUGCUUUCAGUUGUUAUAGCUUAUGCACGAGCAAGUCGGAAGCAAAAAGCGUUCUGAUGAGGAAAAUGUGUUGAAAUUAAUAAAACUUCAUUUAUCGGAAAAAUGAGAAAAAUGUGUACUUUAUUCAUGUUGAACAGCAAUACAAUACACACCCUGCAUGUUAGAGGAAAUAAAAUAAAAUGCACAUCCUCACUGGAUUGCAGAAAAUGACUUGCCUCCCACUAACAAAACCUAAGGGGGCAAGUUACAAAACAAUUCCCUGGAGGACCAGUCUGUAAUGUCCAGCCUCUGCAACUACAUUUUUGCUGGAAGCACUAUAUGGCUUUAUCUCUCUGAAUUCACACUUGUCCGAAGAACGAAGAACAACUGCAACCGUUCGCUGGCUAAUUACUCUGCAAGAUAAAUUUCUUGUCAAUUUCUAGUCUACCAAAAGCAUAUUUAGGACAGGAAAGGAGUCAGUCAAACAGUAUUUACCUAUAGCGUGGAAGCAGAAACUCUGACAGGCUUCAAAACUCUUAGGACCCUCCUCGCGUGCUCAAGAAUAAAGUAGAACACUCCAAACAAGAAGAGCAAGAUAAGUUGGAGCUUUCCGAGUAGAUUGUGUGUAACUCUGAGGUAAUUCACCAUGUCACCAUCUCGUUUACGGAGAAAACCAGCUGAUCCAGCAAACACCAGAAAUCACUUCGGUUAUCUAGUUUAAGAAAAAUAUUUAUUUUGAUGUUUUUACGUUCAUAUCAGAGUCAUUCAAAUUGCGAUUUGGCAGUAAGUACAUACCAUCGGACUUCUUUGGAAGGUUUGACCAGUCCUCUAGGCCUGUACUCGAUUUUGAAGCCUUGAUCAUCUCCAUGAGGGACAUAUUAACCUGCAAGCGAACUUGUCAGUUGAAAAAACUUGAAUCGCUUAUUUUCAUGAUUAUCUGGAGAAGAAUAGUGAGAAAAUCAACAAAAUUCAGAAGUCUGACAAAUGCUAUGUUUACCUCAGCUGGUCUUUCAUGGCUCACUAGGUGGCCUCCAUGGAGCUCAGUUAGCUUGGCAGCAGGCUGUAGCUUUUCUGCAAGCCUCCUUGCAUAAUACAGCUGAGCAACAACAUCAUCCCUGUCGGAAUGUCACCAUAUAGGUGAUCAGUAUUGUGUGGAUUAGUGGACCAUAACGGGAUUGCCAGAGAUUUCGGUUACCUGCCAUGAAUAAUUAGAACAAGGAAACCUGCUAAGCGAAUCCUGUCUAAUUCUUUCGUUGAGAGCUUAUGUGUCCAGCAAGCAUUCAUUUGCCCCUCGAAUCCAUGUCUGGAUUGCAUGCCACCAGAUGACAAACCUUUAACAUAUUCCUAAAAAUUAAAAAAAACAUACUUAAUCAGAUAUGGGUAUAUGACAAGUGGCAUGUGCAAGAGCUAACAGGUUGUUUUGCAUCUUUAGCUUUGAUGCAUUCUUGUACUUUAGAUAUCGUAAGUGUCGUGUCAUCUUUGUUACGACCUAAUCUAGUUUCAUAGAACAUGUAAACGAUGUCAGGUUCAUUAUGUACUGGAGAAAAUUUAGUAUAUCUACAGAUAUGCAUUAGAGUUCACUUCCUUCACUGUGUCACCAAUUUCUUAUGAAUGUCAUGCAACAUUGUCCUACAAUGCAUCAAAAUUUGUUACCUUAUAAAGCAUUUGUCUUCUGGUACAUGAUCCAAUAGCUUCCUCAAGGUAUUCCUGCAAUGUGAUAUGAUUCGUAAAUUGGUUUUCUUUUGCAUAUAAUAAGCUGGUCGUAAUAUUGAUAGAAGAAAAAUAAGUGACCACGAACCGUUGUAUAAUGGACUUCAAGAUCAAGAAUCGCUCUCUGCUCAGGAGUUCUUGCCCGUAGAAAACGAUAGGCGAGAGAUAUCGUGUGCCAAUCAACCUGGAAAGGAAAACGUAAUUGACAUCAGGAUCAAGUUUAUUUUUUAUCCUCUUAAUAACCAGGCAAGUGCAAGUGCAGCGACAACAACAAAGAAAUAGUUUACCAAACACAACAGCUGACGAUGGCUAAACAAAAACAGAGUCUGGCUGACCAACCCAUUGAAGAGUUCAAUGGACCUUUUGCGAAGAACGUGAGUGCAUUUGUUUAUUAGUAAAACGAAAAAUACACGGCGUCAAACCUUUUCCAUGUCUAUGUGGCCACUCUAACUUGGGGCAAAAUGAUAAAGGGGGCAAGAUUGUGUUCAAGUAUGUAGUGCUUUUUUUUUCUUUUUUUUAAAAAUGGAAUGUUUGAAGUGUUCUAAAUCGUAACCAGCUAAAGGUAUCCAAAAAAUCUAUAUGCUACAAAAGUCGAUGUGUUGAUAUAUCUGUCCAAGGAGAUUUAUCCAUAUGCUACAAAAUAGUCCAAAACUUCAAAACUCUAGCUUUCUGAAAUAUAGUGCAUAUAAGUAAGGAGGUCGUGAUCAUGUUGCAAAAGAUCCUAGCUUUCAAGCAAAUCACUAUCACGAAAUCUAGAGGUAAAUUGAUUUUUCCUUAUCCAAGAAAAACUAAAUCAGUUUUGAUGUUUGCACAUAAGAGAUGUCCACAUUGUAACACUGAAUUCAAUGCGACCAACUAGAUGCUUCACACCCAUGCUUCCCUCAAUUUGGCGUGACAAAGUCAUUACCAAUUGUUGAUUCUAGCCAAUUCUGACUCUUCCUCCCCGUGCUAGUCAAUGUCGGCUGGCAGAUUUUCGAUUUUACCGUCGAAUUUACGUAUCAUGUUUCGGUCGAUUUUUCCAACCCAAUAAUGAGCAAUCCAGAAGCCGGAGAAUGGAUAGCAGAAAGCAACGGUGGAGACACAACAAAAACCCACGGAAAAUAUCCUCCAUCUGAUCGUGACUGAAGUCUCAGACAAAUGGAGUUUUUUUUCUGAACCGGUUGAAAAGAAAUGCUAAAAAGUGACAUGAUUUGCAGUAUCUGAAUUGCUGGGCGACCACACCUACCUUUGGGAUGCACUGGUAGCCUCCUCCGGUGGUGUUGAGCAGCGCCAGCGACGCGACCCGGUCCGGCGCCAUUGCGGCCAAUUUCGAAGCUAUCAUUGCCCCUGUUUCAGAUACAGUUUGUCAGGCGACGCUCAUAAACACAAAAUCUUCUGCAAGACCAAUGAAGAACAUGUGCCUCACCCAUGGAGUGGCCGAAGACAUGCACUUUUCGCCAUCCCAGAUGAUCCAGGAGUGCCAAUGCAUCCUUCGCCAUGGUCGCCGUCCUGCCAAGAAAUUGAGCAACAGCAUGAACAAUAUCGUCAGGAACAUUGAGGCUGCAAGAAUCUGUGUCGCCGUCGGUAAAGCGAACGGAAACGAGUGGAGAAGAGUGUGAAGAGGGAAAUCAUCGCGAUGCACGCACGUGUACUGCGACUUUUGUGCCGGCACGGAGCUCCGGCCCAUGCCGCGGUUGUCGAAGCAGCAGACCUCGACGCCCUCCGCCGCGCCGGAGUCGUCGUCGGCCGGGGCCUCCUCGUCGACGGGCUCCACGGCGCCGGUCAGGCCCUUCACCUGCGGGCCCCACGACUCGUACGUGCCCGCGAAUCCUGCGUUCCAAUUGGGGAAAAAUCUUAGGAAAGUUGCUCCGUGUUUCUUGGUCGGUGACAAACGAAACAAACCAAGAGCUAUUGCAGAAACGAAGCAGAAAACGAGGAGGAAAAUGUGCAAGCCAUACCGAUGAUGAGAAGGACCUUGGUGGCGCCAUGGCCGUACCGCUGGUAGAAGAUCCGCACUUCCUCCUCCGGCGUGUGGGCGCCGCCGGCAACGGCCGCCGCCGCCGCGGUCAACACGCAGUACGGCAUCCUCCCUCCUCGCUCCCGCCAAGAACAAGACUACAAGAAGAGCAGCAGGAGCUCUCGCUCGCCUCCUCGGUCACUUCGCCUAUAUCACCAUCAACAACCAAAUACUCCGAAUCGGAGGGAGGGACAAGACAAGAUUAUGUCUGUAAUAACGAUCCGUCCGGCCGACUUGGCGGAUCGAAGCACAGAUUCCAGGACGAGGCGGAGGCGUGGAAAGGUUUAUCUUGACGAAGCCGACACGGAGACGGAGGAGGAGAGGGUUGGCGGAAGCGGGAACGAAAGGAGAGGGGAACACGAACGAAGACGACGACGUACUCGACUCCGAAAUAAAACAAUCGAUCGGGAUGCUCAGUCAAACCAUAGUUUGACCGCGUGCGGGCGCCACAGAGAUAACGCGGGAGCUGUGGUGGCCUGGUGGGUCCCCUUCCAGGAUCCUCUCUGCCUCUGGGACGUGGGCCAAGGCAGAGUGGAGAGUGGUUCAAGUCAAGCCUGACGUGCCCGUUCUGUUCUCGGAGCGGCCAAGUAAACAAUCUACCCUUUUUAAUAUAGAUGAACAAUCUACCUAUUUGGUUGGGAUUAGCUCUGUGAAAAUCUACACUAACAAAAUUUGUAGUUUGCCGGGGAAAUACUUGCAUGUUAAGUUUACAUCCUUAACAAUUAAAAAGAGAAUUAUGUACAAAUAGUCAACAACAAGAAUGUACACCAGAAAAGCAGUUCCCAAUUUUUAGGAGACAAGAAAGGUUAUAAUUCCAAAAUGCCCAUGCUGCACCCACCAACACACCCAUUUUUUGAGGAAAAAAAUCUCCUAAAAACAUUUCUAUGAUACGCGUGCUAAACAGAUUUCUCAAGAAAUAAAGUUAUCCUAUAAGAAGUUAUCUGGACAAAUUACACAUAAAGAGCCGUUUUGGUAGGGAUUCUCAAACAGCUUCUCCACCGAUUUUUGGUGAAGUCCUACCAAAGAGCCAAAUUCAAAACGGCUCUACAAUUGAAGCUAGGGAGAAGCUGCAAAACGGCUUACACUAAAGAGAAGGAGCCAAAAAAGUGGUUUCACCGGCUUAUCCUCCUCUCCAAGCAUUAAGACCCCCUUUGACAGGGCUUUUGCUGCGGCUCAACGGACAAUUUCUGUUGAAGUUGUACCAAACGCUCUUUCAAAAAACAGCUUCGGAGGCGGAGCACCCAAGUAGCCGGUCUCCAAUUUGUACUAACGAGGCGAAGCCGAAAAAACUAGCUCUCUGCAGCUCCCUCCUCGUAUGUCCACCAAUCGUUACGAAACUACCCCUGAACUUUGUUGUAAAUUACACCUAAAUUGCCACCGCCUCCCUGAAUCAGUACAACAUUUUCAUCCCAUGAACCGUUCAUCUCUAUCCGCUUCUCUCCCUAUCACGGUCAGGUAGCAGUGGGUGAAAUGGAUGAAGGGAAGGUGGCUCUGCCGGCCGAAAAGGGGUUCCGGUGGCUGAAAGGGGUGGAUCUGGUGGUGAGCUCCAAGAUACGACCAACGGAGGGACUAGCGGCACCCUGUUCGUGUGGUAGGAAGGCCUGCUGAUGGCCCCCUAGGUGUGCUCUUUGCGGCUGCAGGAUUGCCUCCUAGCGCACCGAGGACACGCCUGGAGGCGCAGCCACCGCGGGGACGGACGGUGCCGCCCAGACUGGCCUAUCUCUUGGAUCUACCAGAUGAUCUAGGAGACGUACAUCAUGUGUUCCAUGUGUCUCAACCCAAGAAAUGCCUGAGAAUACCAGAAGAACAAACACCCCUAGAAGUAAUGGAUCUACAACCUGACCUACAAUACCAAGAAAGGCCCAUAUGUAUUUUGGAUACAACAAUACGGCAAACAAGGAGGACAACAUCAAGGUUAUGUAGAGUACAGUAGAGCAAUCACACACAAGUAGAAGCCACCUGGGAAAGAGAAGAAAACCUUAGGAAAGAAUUCUCCUACCUAUUCGAAAGACCAGUCGAAUCUCGAGAACAAGAUUUAUUUUAUGUGGGGUAGGUCUGUAACAUCCUAAUUUUCAUAUGCAUUUAAAAUAUGAACCCCAAAAUUUUUUCUUAAAAUUUACCUAGCAAUUCAAACCCUAGAGCCUUGUAUUUGAAAUUAUGCAUUGAAAUAUAAUUUUCAUGAACUCAUGUGCAUAUGUUUGAGCUAACUAUUCCCUCUGCUCCAAAAUAAUUCACCUUAACAUUCGUUCCAAGCCCUUACAUCAAAACCAAUUCAAAUUUAAAAUUGCAUUUCAAAUUUGAACUUAAAACACCUCACCAACUAAAAGGAAAGGCCAUUUAAACCUACUUGGCCGGCAACCUCGGAACCAGCCCCCCUUUCCCUUUCUGGCCCAGCUUGUCCCGCCCCUCCUUCCUCAAAUGCACACACGAAGGCCCAUCAACCGGCCAAGCUAGCAACCCCAUCAUCCCCUACGUUCGGUUCCUCCCCCCUUCCCUCUCCCUCGCCCGUGCGCGACAUCACGUCGGCUGUGCAACGCACCCGACCCUCUGGCCACCUUCCCCACUUGCCCUAGAGCGCGCCGCUAUCGCCUACACCCCCUUUGUCCCCUUCGUGAGUGUGGCGGAACCACCUCGGAUUAGCUUGAUUAAGCAAGGUUAAGUCGCCUAACAUGCGACACUCCUGCUUAAACCGAGCUAACACGGGGUGCCGUCGAAUUUCAUCCGAUUUAACCACUUAACAGGAUCGAGUUUAGCAAACCCACACGAAGGUGAGUGGUUACAGAGAAUACAACAAGUCCACUGAGUUAAACAGGUUUCACCUAUUUUAGUUCAAUCCUAAAUUCCAACAUCAGAGUUUUAUGAAACAAAAGAACAACAGAGGAAACACUAGCGGAAGACUUCGUCGGGGUCGGAUGUCCGGGCGAGGCCAGCCAGAACAUCACUGAGUCCUCUCCUCGCCGUCCGAGGAGGGGUCCCACUCGACCGUCCAGCCUGGCGGGAGCUGGGGCGACCAAGCACCAACCAGAGAGGGGUCGGACGCGGCAACUUCACUUGAAACAGAAGCCACAACAAGGCUGAGCUACUAAGCUGAACAAGACUUAACCGAUAGGAGUAAGGACUACUCCUCCUUCUAGACAUGCAAGGCUUCUUAGCUGAGGGGUUUGUUUGCCAAAAGCACUAAGUAACCCUAUUUCAAGUUUUAGCUCCAGUUCUAGGUUCACUUACCAUUCUAGGUUGUGCAACCUAUUCUAAGCAAUCAUAGAGCCAAACAUGAUGUGUAAACAUAACAACAACAUUGCCAUCAUCAGAUUCCUUACUUACUCAGGGUGACAUAGCGAUCAAGCAAUCUCAAACUGUGAGAGGCAGACGAAUCGAUUCGAGUUCUUUAACCAUGCAUGGUGAACCUAGCCUCACGACAUCCGCGCACCCGGAGGUCGCUUCCUGUGUCGGCCUUCCCCAUCAAUCCCCUAACCCGUGUCGGGCCCAUUUCCUUUGGUGCAAGGUCCCACAGACUCGGCCUCUGCCGUCCUGUGACCACACAUUGCCACCACGUGCGACAACCAGCAGGGGAAACUCCGUUCCAAGAACAAUGGGGCGACCGCUCACGUCUAGGUUCAAUCCGGUACUAGGCUUCCUCAUCCCAUACUAAGUAUGAGGCUAGUACUUUCAAACACUUGAUCACGAACACCACCACUGUCGGGCCUUAGCAAAAUUUUCAUAGACAGACGGGGCGACCAUCCGACCACCAAAGAGUUACCCAAAACGUGCCCCGUCCAUCGUCCUUAUGGUUAUAACAGGAGAGUAAACAUGCAACUCCUAUAACUCGCGAGUGACAGGAAAUCACUCGGCUUUUACCGUUUUCCUAGUUAAGCAAUGCAGCUACUCGGUCCAACAGCUAGUGCUCAGAUCAUGGGUCACUGAGUCAUGCAUCUAGGGUUUCACAUAACUCCUAUACGUAAAUGCACAAGCAUGUUACAGAAGGCAUGCGCAAGACUGGUAAAACACGUAGGACUUUGAUGCAACCGGGGCUUGCCUUCAAGCAAGGAGGACGGAAACUGCUCGGCUUCGGGGGCGACUUCGGCUUCGGAGGGCAGAAGCUCGGCUACAGCUUCUUCUUCGGGCGCCGGAUGAAGCUCGUAGAAACCGUCGGCGAGGUGCAGCUCUACACGAAUGUAAUGCAAGUGUUAGCUUAGACGGUUAGUUCAACAGCAACACUGGCUCGCCUGAGCCCAGAAACUCGCGACAACGAGCAGGUGGUGAUGGUGGUUCAAGAGCUGAUGGUGAUCAAAAGGUAAGGGUAGAAGGAACUAGUGGUCUGAUCCUUGCACUAGAGGAUGUGAGAAACUAGGGGUCCUUAGACGCAAGCGCUGAAGGGUUCCCAAGUUUUACACAUACACCCUCGAGUUGAAGAAAAAGAUCACAGCCAAGCCCUCGGGCGAGGCGGAUAAGGGUCGGCAGAACAGACAGGGUCGGGCGAGACGGAACUGAGGUCGGGUGGAUAGGAGGGGUCGGGCGAGGCGGACUUGGGGUCGGCAACUCACCUUCUUCCUGAAAGGAAGGCUUGGGGUCGGGAAGAGGCAGACUUGGGCGGAGGGACUAAAGCUUCGAGCAAGGGCUGAGACUGGCAAUACUCCGGCGGCAACGCUGCUUCUUGCGGAACACAAGAGAGCUCUUACGCAGCACGGGGGAGCAAGCUGCUGGGUGACUGGAGGAACUGAGAGGGAACCGGGAGAAGAACUCCUCAAGAACUGGGUGGAUGGCGCUAGGAGCUUGAGCAGAGGGAUGGAGAAGCUGAAGGCAACAGAGGCGGAGGGAACUCCGGCGACGGGGGCAUUCCUUUUAUAGCUGCUGGAGCAGAGGAACGGAAACGUCACGGAGAGAGAGAAGGGGAGCGGCGCGAAGGCCGGGGAGAAGCAAUGGAGUGCUCUGCCGUGGCGGCGAUUGAGCAACCAGGGCGGUGCUGCAGACCUCCGGGGGUGACGCCAGCGAUCAUUGCGUUCUGCCGUCAGGGCGGCGUAGGGGCGGGUAGAUUGGUGGUUGAGAUUUGGCGGAGAGCGGGCGUCGUCGUGCGGAAGAGGCGAUGGAAGCGACCGGUUAAAUGGCGCUAGAAUCGAGGGCGCACAGGUGAGAAGACAGGCGGACGCGGGCACGGGGGAGAGCACGGAACAACAGAUUGUCGGGCGGCGUCUGACAGAGCGAGGAAAAGAACUGUCGCGGCCGCGGUCGGGGUUGGCGGUGGAGGAAUCGUCGUGUAGCGACGACCGGGCGGCGCAACUGUGGCUGGAAGGGACGGAAAAGACGGGCAACAUCGGGCUCUGGGGCCGGGAUCUGGUGGCGUGAUGAUGGGCGCGGGAGACGAGGUUCUGCAGAAAGGGUGCAGAGGGUUUCCGCUGCUAUUGGGGAAAAAGGGGCGCGGGAACCCACCCUGUUGCUUGCUAGAGACAAAACUGGGCGAUGGCGUCGGAGAAGACGAGCCACGCGGCAGGAAGACUCUGAGGCGGCCAUGCAACUCGAGUGCGGCUGGCGUGGGGGAUCUGGAAAGGAUCUCGCGGGUCCACCGGUGGGUAGAUUGGACGGGUGAGGGAGAUCAGCAGGAUCCGACGGGGAACUGAGCUCGCCGGGGUCGGGAGAGGAGCGAAGCAAGAAGGGGUCGGAUCUCAGGGGUCGGGACUUGGCGGAAGACUGGGCACCUAGGUGCGGUUAAGCAAAACAACUGACUAAGGUUAAGGGCUGAGAUCAAGCCUAACUGGGAAGGAUUAGGGGUCGGUCGUUACAGCCUACCCCUCUUAAAAAGAAUCUCGUCCCGAGAUUCAAGGAUCAAGGGUGUGCUGUUCUUACCUCCUUGAUGGGACAGAAAACCUGGGAAACGCUUGUUCAGAUACUCGUCCGUUUCCCAUGUUGCUUCAUCUUCGGUGUGGUUUCUCCAGAGGAUCUUGUACAUCUUUACCACUUGGCAUCGGGUGUGCCUUUCCUUUUGGUCAAGAACUCGAUCUGGGUACUCGGCGUAGGUCAGGUCGGGCUCUAUCUGAAGCGGUUCUUGUUCUAAGAUCUCUGUUGGAACUCGGACACACUUCUUCAGUUGAGACACAUGAAAAACAUCAUGUAUGGCUGAUAGCUGUUCUGGGAGUUGGAUCCGGUAAGCAACGGGUCCACAUCUCUCCACAAUCUCAUAAGGGCCAACAUAGCGGGGAGCUAACUUGCCCUUUAUUCCAAACCGCUGCACUCCUUUGGUCGGGGAUACUCUAAGGUACACAUGAUCACCAAGGUCGAACUGCAGGGGUCUCCUCCGCUGGUCGGAGUAACUCUUCUGUCGAGAUUGGGCAGCCUUGACAUUUGCUUGAAUUACCUUCCCUUGCUCUUCGGCUUCUGCCACUAAGUCGGGGCCGUAAACCUGUCUUUCUCCUGGUUGGGACCAGUUCAAGGGUGUCCUGCAUCUCCGGCCAUACAGGGCUUCGAACGGUGCCAUCUUCAAACUGGCCUGAUAGCUGUUAUUGUAGGAGAAUUCUGCUAAGGGCAGACACUUGUCCCAGCUUUUAUCGUAGUGGAUAACACAGGCUCUUAGCAUAUCUUCAAGAAUCUGGUUAACUCUCUUGGUUUGGCCAUCGGUUUGAGGAUGAUACGUCGAGCUUCGGAUGAGCUUGGUGCCCAUAGAUGCUUGUAGUUGCUCCCAAAAACGGGCCACAAACUGAACUCCUCGAUCAGAGAUGAUGGUCUUGGGUAUACCAUGUAGGGAAACGAUACGGUCGAGGUACAACUCUGCAUAUUGCUUGACCGUAUAGGUGGUACGAACGGGAAGGAAAUGUGCCGUCUUGGUCAGACGGUCCACUAUAACCCAGAUGGAAUCAUACCGUUGAGUUGUAAUGGGUAAUCCAACUAUGAAGUCCAUGCUGAUGUCUUCCCAUUUCCAAGAGGGGAUAGGUAGCGGCUGCAAGGUUCCUGCUACCUUCAAGUGACUGGCCUUGACACGUUGACAGGUGUCACAUUCCGAAACAUAAUGAGCUAUCUCUGGUUUCAUUCCACUCCACCAAAAGGUUUGACGAAGAUCAUGGUACAUCUUAUUGCUGCCAGGAUGGAUCGAGAACUUGGAGAGAUGAGCUUCGUCUAGGAUUUGCUUCCUCAACUCAGGGUCGGCGGGCACUACUAGUCGGUUUCCAUAAUACACACCUCCUGUUUCGUCCUGACGGAAUUGCUUAUAUCCUUUAUCCUUUACUGAGAUCUUACUGAUGAUCCGUUUUAUUUCUUCAUCCUUAACUUGUGCCGAUCGAAUUUGGUCCUCCAAAAUUGAGUCAAGGAUGAUGUGACCAAGGGUUCCAUGAGGAAUAAUCUCCAAACUUAGUUUUCCCAUCUCGUGACAUAGGGUUUUGGUGAAGGCUGCUGACAGCAAGCAGUUGCAAUGGGGUUUGCGACUGAGGGCAUCGGCCACCACAUUGGCCUUGCCAGGAUGAUAGUGCACUUCCAACUCAUAAUCCUUUAUCAACUCUAGCCAUCUUCUCUGACGCAUGUUGAGGUCGGCUUGAGUGAAGAUGUACUUGAGGCUCUUGUGGUCGGUGUAGAUGUUGCAGUGAGCUCCCAUUAGGUAGUGCCUCCAUAUCUUUAAGGCAUGUAUCACUGCUGCCAACUCAAGGUCAUGUGUCGGGUAGUUUAGCUCAUGAGGUCAUAACGCACGUGAGGCAUAGGCAAUGACUCGGCUGUCUUGCAUAAGAACACAUCCGAGUCCAGUACCAAAGGCGUCACAGUAUACGUCAUACGGCCUAGAGGGGUCGGGUUGAGCCAAAACUGGGGCGGUGGUCAGCAAGUGCUUCAGGGUCUUGAAGGCCUCUUCACACUUGGUGUCCCACACAAACUUGACCUCCUUCUUCAGCAACUCGGUCAUCGGCUUAGCUAUCUUGGAGAAAUCCGGUAUGAAACGCCGAUAGUAACCUGCCAGUCCAAGGAAACUCCUGAUCUAGUGUACCGAGGCAGGAGACUUCCAUUCCAUGACUUCUUGCACCUUACUGGGAUCAACGGCGAUACCAUCUUUGGAGAUAGUGUGUCCCAAAAACUUGACACUAUCUAACCAAAACUCACACUUGGAGAACUUGGCAUAGAGCUGGUGAUCUCUCAGACGUUGGAGAACUAUGUGAAGAUGGUCGGCAUGCUCUUCCUCGUUCUUCGAGUACACUAGGAUAUCAUCAAUGAACACCACGACAAACUUGUCCAGCUCGGGCAUAAACACCGAGUUCAUAAGGUACAUGAAAUAAGCGGGUGCAUUGGUGAGUCCAAAGGACAUGACUAGGUACUCGUACAGUCCAUAUCUGGUAGAGAAGGCUGUCUUGGGUAUGUCGCAAGGUCGAAUCUUGAUUUGGUGAUAACCAGAAUGAAGAUCGAUCUUGGAGAACAUUUUUGCUCCGGCUAACUGAUCGAACAAGACAUCAAUGCGUGGCAGUGGGUACUUGUUCUUGACUGUUACCGCAUUGAGGGGUCGGUAGUCCACACACAUCCGUAAACUGCCGUCUUUCUUCUUCACAAACAGGGCGGGGCAACCCCAAGAUGAUGUACUGGGUCGAAUGAAGCCCUUUUCCAACAGAUCAUGCAACUGGGUCUUCAACACGGCUAACUCAGCGGGUGGCAUCCGAUAGGGUCUCUUAGAUAUCGGGGUUGUGCCAGGAAUCAACUCUAUGGAAAACUCCACUUCUCUAUCAGGGGGCAUACCCGGCAAAUCUUCUGGAAACACAUCAGGGUACUCACAGAUAGCAGGGAGGUCUUCUAGACGGGCUCCCAAGAGAGGGUAAGCACAAGGAGUCGGAGACUCAAGAUGGGUCAAGGAUAGGGUAAAACUGCCAUGAGAGGGUGAACUGAUGUAAAGAGAUCGGGCUGAUGUAUCUAGAACAGCAUGAUGUCGGGCCAUCCAGUCCAUACCAAGGAUGACAUCUAUGCCCUUUAGGUCAAGGAUGAUAAGGUUUUCCUUGAAGAGGGUGGGGCCUAGCUGGAGAGGUACAAGAAUAACGACCUGAUCCGACGUUAUCCUUCCUCCAGGAGUGGCGAUCACGUAGGGUUCCUUAGUGUGACCGACACUUAGCCCACAUCUUUCCCUUGCCUUAUUCCCGAUAAAGCUAUGAGAAGCUCCCGAAUCAAACAACACAACAACAGCUUGAUUUAAAAUGAGGAAAGUACCCGUCAUUACUGACGCACCUUCGGGAAGUUCGGUCAAGCUGGUGUAGUUGAGUCGGCCUUGUCGGACUUGCACCUUGGGCCUUCUUCCUCUGGUUGCCAUGGGGUUCUGGCCUUGCUGCUGAUUCUUAUUCCUGGGGCAGUCCUUUGCAAAAUGUCCUUCAUUGCCGCAGGUAAAACACCGAUUACUGGCUGUCGGGCGAGGUGGCGUUGGCAGGGUCGGCCGGGGCACUUGCGGCUGGAAGCCUGGAAAACGAGGCGUUGUUGCUGGUGGGGGUCGGGCGAUCCAUUUCCCUGACUGCUGGGGUCGGCCAGGGGUUUGUGGAGGAAUCAUCCGGAACCUUCGAGUCGGCGGACUCGGAAAUGCCACAGAGGCCUUUCUCUUCUAGUCGUCCUUGAGAGCUUGCAUGCAGUCCUCCUGAGAGAUGGCCAGGUUGACCAACUCGUUGUAGGUGUCCACCCUGAUGGGGUUCAGCCUUUCCCUGAGCUCCAAGCUCAGUCCUCGGCGGAAUCUGUCCCGCUUCUUCUCAUCGGUGUCCGCAUGAUAGCCAGCAUAACGGCAUAGGUCAUUGAACGCUUGGGCGUAAUGCAGCACAUCCUGAGUUCCUUGGGUGAGGGCCAGAAACUCGUUGAGCUUACGCUCCAGGAGACCUUCGGGAAUGUGAUGCGCCUUGAACGCCGUCUUGAACUCGUUCCAGCUGACCUCGUGGCCAGCCGGCAGCAUGGCAUGGUAGUGGUCCCACCAAAGCCGUGCGAAGCCACGCAGCUGCUGAGCUGCGAACCGCGCCUUGUUGUUGUCGGGGCAUGGAGCGGUGAGGAGCUCGAACUUGGAUUCGAUCGUACGAACCCAUGCAUCAGCGUCGAGCGGUUCUUGUGUCUUUUGGAACAGCUGGGGCUGUGUCCCCAGAAAGUCCUCGUACCGCGCGAUAUGCGGCUGCUGCUGUGCUCUUCCACCCUGUGGCUAUUGCUGUUGUCCUUGCACCAGAUGCCUUAGCAGCUCAGUUUGAGUUGCUAGGAUUGCCUCCAACGGCGAUGGGGGCGGGGACGGGGGAAGAUCCUGUCGCUGAUCACUACCACUGGGCAUAGAUCCAGACCUAGUGCGGUGCGCCAUCUGCAAGAGUUAAUGCCCCAUUAGUUUCAUAACCUUAGGUGUACUCCAACAAAUGGGAACGUAUGAAUUAAAUCCUUUAAUGCGACUCUUGCCAAUGGUGCAUCACACGUCCUCAUAGAGGAAGCACAUUCCUCCCAUUUUCAGCAUAGAUAACCUCUACUUAUCCUGGUACUCCACUUCAGGCACACAUGCCACAUACCGACUCCUAGAAUCUGAUCCACUCAAACCAAGGGGUCGGACACGGUCCAUACUUCGGAAAGGGUCGGACGAGGCGGAGACUGCCUCAACGGUUGGCGCACUCUGGCUCGCAAACUAGGGUCGGCCAACUGAACAGGCUCCCCGAAAACAGCCUAGGGUUACGACACAACUUACUCCACCCUAGCAUCCACACCAUACGAAAAGGAUAAAACUAUGUACCGGUUGACUUUAUAGACAACGAUGGUUCAACACAGGGAGUACUCAACUCAAGGCUAACCUAUUACAACUUUCCAAAAUCUAGGCUGCCGAGGAGUACAACAAAAAGAAAGAAGGUUCCCUGAGAACCCUUAAACUACCACUGGACACUAUGAGUCGGAGAAGGGGCGCCAUCUUCUUCUAUGUCCAUGCUGGACGCUCCCUCGUCUUCCUCAGGGUCCUCCUGAGCUUCGAGCUGCAUGUUAAGGGCAUGCAUAUCCUUGAGCUCGGCUUGGUGCUCCUCCAGGUGGGCAUUGGCGACUGCUAGCUCCAUUUCCACCUCCAUCUUUUUCUCCGAGAGCUCUAUCAUGCCGUCCACGAGGUCGGCGACUUCUCCUUCUAGCUCGGAGAUACGAUCUUGCAUAUCGUGGAUCUGGAUACCACGCUGGAUUAGCUGGUAGGUUUGGCCUACCAUGUCCCUUCUUGCUGCCUAGAGGUAACCGUGGGUAUCUGCAGCCGUCCGGGCGAAGAGGGUCAUGGCUCUUCCCUGGAGCUCUAUCAACCUGUAGAGGGCGGCCAUGCAUCGGACGUUGGUGGAGAUGGUAACCAUAGCACAGGUAGUGGCCAACACCUCAAUGUUUCCGAUGCGGUCCAGCCAGGCCGGGUCCAGCCGACUCCUGAUGGGGAAGAGACCGAUCGGGUCUAGCGUGAUCUCCACGGGGUGCAACUGACAGAACUGGGUGAGCAACUGGAGGGCGGCGGAUUCCCAUGUGUCUUCCGGAGCAAGACCAUAGGCUAUUAUGCCCAGAGAGGGCCAGUCGGGCUGCGCAAGGGGAGGUGGUACCAACGCUUGCACCUGGCACGUCUGAAUGCCCUGUUCCAUAUAUAACCGCCCGGCAUACAAGGGUGGGGACUGAUACCCAAACCACUGCAGCGUAUCCCACAAAAUCGCGGGAAACCCCUCGAAAUGCAGGCACGUUGACUGGAAGGUACCGUCUGCUCCAAAAACCACAUGUCCGGGAACAGCCAUCUGGAACCAAGAAAAACCGAAAACCACGUGAGAUAGAUUGAAGGAUCAGGGGUCGGAUAGAAAAGCAGACGGGUUUCACCGAGAGCAACUAAGAGAAACUAGAAAUCCUUAGACCAAAAGAACUCUUUCGGACAGGGUUGCUGCUGAGAAAAGGGACCGUACACCCUUUUUAGAUAUGACGCAUGCACGGCCUACCGUACUCUUAACCAAAACAACUGCCCAAACCUUGGGUCUUACGCAGUCAGCGCCGGUGACAAGGCAACAAUACGUCUCUCCCUAUAAUAACUAGUCGGUUCUAGCAACGUCUUAACGAGCGCGGUUAGCAACCUGCAGAAAACACCACACACGAACCUUCCGUGCCAGCACCCACGAAAGCGUUCCCAAACAUUACCGCUCACUAUAGGAACGGCACCCAUGCGUUUAAGGCUGCAUGGACAGCACUCAACCGUGGAAAUAGGCUCCCUUUGAAUGGAUCCAUAUAACCCUUCGCAUACUCGUGAUGCGGAAUCGGCACACGUAUGAUAGACGUGGCGAAACAACCGUGCCGAUAGGUUCGUUAGAAUCGAACCGUACCAACCUUCGUAUGGAGCACAUACGGAACCUGCGCACGUGUAAUAGACGUGGGCGAAAACAACCGCGAAGAUAGGGUCCUUCGAAUGGAGCUCCCUAUCAACCCUCGCAUACUCGUGAUGCGAAAUCCGGCACACGUAUGAUAGACGUGGCGAAGUGCUGGAAGAGUUAGCAAGAUAACCAAGUACUUAUUAGUCACCUAAAACAACCCCCCAAAAUCCCCUAGGGCCUCUCGCACUAAGUCAUCCUUAACGAUCGUAUGAGGUUUUCAAAAGUUUCUUGCAACUUUUAUCCCUUUCAAAGAAGUGUUUAGGGCUCAUCGGGUUCUCUGAAUGCUAAACACGGCUCUGAUACCAGCUGUGGCGGAACCACCUCGGAUUAGCUUGAUUAAGCAAGGUUAAGUCGCCUAACAUGCGACACUCCUGCUUAAACCGAGCUAACACGGGGUGCCGUCGAAUUUCAUCCGAUUUAACCACUUAACAGGAUCGAGUUUAGCAAACCCACACGAAGGUGAGUGGUUACAGAGAAUACAACAAGUCCACUGAGUUAAACAGGUUUCACCUAUUUUAGUUCAAUCCUAAAUUCCAACAUCAGAGUUUUAUGAAACAAAAGAACAACAGAGGAAACACUAGCGGAAGACUUCGUCGGGGUCGGAUGUCCGGGCGAGGCCAGCCAGAACAUCACUGAGUCCUCUCCUCGCCGUCCGAGGAGGGGUCCCACUCGAUCGUCCAGCCUGGCGGGAGCUGGGGCGACCAAGCACCAACCAGAGAGGGGUCAGACGCGGCAACUUCACCUGAAACAGAAGCCACAACAAGGCUGAGCUACUAAGCUGAACAAGACUUAACCGAUAGGAGUAAGGACUACUCCUCCUUCUAGACAUGCAAGGCUUCUUGGCUGAGGGGUUUGUUUGCCAAAAGCACUAAGUAACCCUAUUUCAAGUUUUAGCUCCAGUUCUAGGUUCACUUACCAUUCUAGGUUGUGCAACCUAUUCUAAGCAAUCAUAGAGCCAAACAUGAUGUGUAAACAUAACAACAACAUUGCCAUCAUCAGAUUCCUUACUUACUUAGGGUGACAUAGCGAUCAAGCAAUCUCAAACUGUGAGAGGCAGACGAAUCGAUUCGAGUUCUUUAACCAUGCAUGGUGAACCUAGCCUCACGACAUCCGCGCACCUGGAGGUCGCUUCCUGUGUCGGCCUUCCCCAUCAAUCCCCUAACCCAUGUCGGGCCCAUUUCCUUUGGUGCAAGGUCCCACAGACUCGGCCUCUGCCGUCCUGUGACCACACAUUGCCACCACGUGUGACAACCAGCAGGGGAAACUCCGUUCCAAGAACAAUGGGGCGACCGCUCACGUCUAGGUUCAAUCCGGUACUAGGCUUCCUCAUCCCAUACUAAGUAUGAGGCUAGUACUUUCAAACACUUGAUCACGAACACCACCACUGUCGGGCCUUAGCAAAAUUUUCAUAGACAGACGGGGCGACCAUCCAACCACCAAAGAGUUACCCAAAACCUGCCCCGUCCAUCGUCCUUAUGGUUAUAACAGGAGAGUAAACAUGCAACUCCUAUAACUCGCGAGUGACAGGAAAUCACUCGGCUUUUACCGUUUUCCUAGUUAAGCAAUGCAGCUACUCGGUCCAACAGCUAGUGCUCAGAUCAUGGGUCACUGAGUCAUGCAUCUAGGGUUUCACACAACUCCUAUACGUAAAUGCACAAGCAUGUUACAGAAGGCAUGCGCAAGACUGGUAAAACACGUAGGACUUUGAUGCAACCGGGGCUUGCCUUCAAGCAAGGAGGACGGAAACUGCUCGGCUUCGGGGGCGACUUCGGCUUCGGAGGGCAGAAGCUCGGCUACAGCUUCUUCUUCGGGCGCCGGAUGAAGCUCGUAGAAACCGUCGGCGAGGUGCAGCUCUACACGAAUGUAAUGCAAGGGUUAGCUUAGACGGUUAGUUCAACAGCAACACUGGCUCGCCUGAGCCCAGAAACUCGCGACAACGAGCAGGUGGUGAUGGUGGUUCAAGAGCUGAUGGUGAUCAAAAGGUAAGGGUAGAAGGAACUAGUGGUCUGAUCCUUGCACUAGAGGAUGUGAGAAACUAGGGGUCCUUAGACGCAAGCGCUGAAGGGUUCCCAAGUUUUACACAUACACCCUCGAGUUGAAGAAAAAGAUCACAGCCAAGCCCUCGGGCGAGGCGGAUAAGGGUCGGCAGAACAGACAGGGUCGGGCGAGACGGAACUGGGGUCGGGUGGAUAGGAGGGGUCGGGCGAGGCGGACUUGGGGUCGGCAACUCACCUUCUUCCUGAAAGGAAGGCUUGGGGUCGGGAAGAGGCAGACUUGGGCGGAGGGACUAAAGCUUCGAGCAAGGGCUGAGACUGGCAAUACUCCGGCGGCGACGCUGCUUCUUGCGGAACACAAGAGAGCUCUUACGCAGCAUGGGGGAGCAAGCUGCUGGGUGACUGGAGGAACUGAGAGGGAACCGGGAGAAGAACUCCUCAAGAACUGGGUGGAUGGCGCUAGGAGCUUGAGCAGAGGGAUGGAGAAGCUGAAGGCAACAGAGGCGGAGGGAACUCCGGCGACGGGGGCAUUCCUUUUAUAGCUGCUGGAGCAGAGGAACGGAAACGUCGCGGAAAGAGAGAAGGGGUGCGGCGCGAAGGCCGGGGAGAAGCAAUGGAGUGCUCUGCCGUGGCGGCGAUUGAGCAACCAGGGUGGUGCUGCAGAACUCCGGGGGUGACGCCAGCGAUCAUUGCGUUCUGCCGUCAGGGCGGCGUAGGGGCGGGUAGAUUGGUGGUUGAGAUUUGGCGGAGAGCGGGCGUCGUCGUGCGGAAGAGGCGAUGGAAGCGACCGGUUAAACGGCGCUAGAAUCGAGGGCGCACAGGUGAGAAGACAGGCGGACGCGGGCGCGGGGGAGAGCACGGAACAACAGAUUGUCGGGCGGCGUCUGACAGAGUGGGGAAAAGAACUGUCGCGGCCGCGGUCGGGGUUGGCGGUGGAGGAAUCGUCGUGUAGCGACGACCGGGUGGCGCAACUGUGGCUGGAAGGGACGGAAAAGACGGGCGACAUCGGGCUCUGGGGCCGGGAUCUGGUGGCGUGAUGAUGGGCGCGGGAGACGAGGUUCUGCAGAAAGGGUGCAGAGGGUUUCCGCUGCUAUUGGGGAAAAAGGGGCGCGGGAACCCACCCUGUUGCUUGCUAGAGACAAAACUGGGCGAUGGCGUCGGAGAAGACGAGCCACGCGGCAGGAAGACUCUGAGGCGGCCAUGCAACUCGAGUGCGGCUGGCGCGGGGGAUCUGGAAAGGAUCUCGCGGGUCCACCGGUGGGUAGAUCGGACGGGUGAGGGAGAUCAGCAGGAUCCGACGGGGGACUGAGCUCGCCGGGGUCGGGAGAGGAGCGAAGCAAGAAGGGGUCGGAUCUCAGGGGUCGGGACUUGGCGGAAGACUGGGCACCUAGGUGCGGUUAAGCAAAACAGCUGACUAAGGUUAAGGGCUGAGAUCAAGCCUAACUUGGAAGGAUUAGGGGUCGGUCGUUACAGUGAGCCAGAGCGCCCCCUCCGGCCUGGAACCCGGCUAUCCCCUCCACCCACGCGCGCACCGGAGCACACGACCGGUGGCAUGGCCACCCCAAUCUCCACAUCCCCAGCCAGAUUUGCCUCCUCGUCAAGAGCACCACAUGCGCCUACACCAGGCGCAUUCAAUGCGUUCCUCAACCCAUGCCAGUGCAUGCCUCCUCGGCCUUAUCCACCCCCGUCGCUGGAGCCACACGUCGCCAAGCCACCGCCACACCAUGCUACCUGUCCCGGGGUCUUGCUGUGGCCUCCCCGAGCCCCGCUGGCAGCCCUGGCCGCCUAUAAAAGCCUUCUUGCACCCUUCAUUGCUACCUCACUAGCCAUCGCCGGAAAGUACGUGUGGCGGAACACCUCGGAUUAACUUAACUAAAGCACAUUUAAGUCGCCUAACACGCGAUCCACAUGCUUUAAUCAAGUUAACUCGCGAUCCGUCGGAUUUCAUCCGAUAAACCACUUUACAGGACCGAGUUAGCAUAGCUCACACGAAGGUGAGUGGUUCCAGAGAAUACAACAGAUCAACCUCUUAAACAAGUACAAAUUUUAUUACAACACUGGUUCGAAAAUCAGAGUUUUAACAAGGUUCAAAAGCAGCGGAAAGAUAAAUCGCAGAAGCUAGCGCUGGGUUUGGUGUCCCUGAUGAGGCCGAUUAGGACAUCAGUGAUCUCUUUCCUCGCCAUCCGAGGAGGGAUCCCACUCGACCGUCCACCCAGGAGGAAGCUGGGGAGGCCAAGUGCCAACAGCAGCACACUCAGAAGCUUCAACUUCACCUGAAAGAGAUGCCACAAGCAAGGCUGAGCUACUAAGCUCAACAAGACUUAACGGACCGGUGGGAAAUACUACUCCUCCAACUUCUAGACAUGCAAGGCUCUUUGGCUGAGGGGUUUGUUUUGUCAAAAGCAACUACAGUAGGUCCUUACUUUCAAUAUUUUAGCUCCGAUUCUAAGUUUAUUAACCAGUCUACAUUAGCAGCUUAUGCUAAACAAACAUCGUUCCAAACAAUAUGUAUAUAGAACGUGCAUCAAGUUCAUAUCAUCCUCAUGUUCCAUCUUUACUCAGUGUAGCAUAGCGAUCAAGCAGUCUCAAACUGUGAGAGGCAGACGAAUCGAUUUGAGUUUCUUAACCAUGCAUGGCGAACCUAAUCUCACGACAUCCGCGCACCACCGAGGGUCGCUUCCUGUGUCGGCCGUCCCCAUGGAUCCCCUGACCCAUGUCAGGCCCACUUCUCUUGGUGCAAUGUUCCACAGACCCGGCCUCUGCCGUUCUGUGACCACACUUGUCACCACAUGCAGCCGCAAGGGAAACUCUGUUCCAGAGACAGUGGAUCGAACCGCUCACGUCCAGGUUCAAUCAGGUACUAGGCUUCCCCAUCCCAUACUAGGUAUGAGAUUAGUACCUUCAAACACUUAAUCACGAACACCAUCACUUUCUGACCUUAACAGAUUCAUGUAGACAGACGGGGCAAUCCACCAACUACCAAAAAGAGUUCACAAGGCUCUGCCCCAUCCACCGUCCUUAUAGUUGUAACUAGAAGGAGAACAAGCAACUCCUAUAACUUGCGAGUCACAGGGAACCACUUGACUUUUACCGAGUCCUGUUAAGCAUUGCAACUACUCGGACUUAUCAGACUAGUGUUCAGAUCAAGGGAACUGAGUCAUACAUCUAUGGUUUCAAACCACUCCUAUAACGUAAAUGCACAUACAUACAAAAGAAGGCAUGCGCAAGUUUAGAAAGAUUGGGUUAUGCUCCCGGGCUUGCCUUCGAGCGGGGCGGAAGCAAACUGGUCUUUGGCAUGCUCUACUUCAGCUCCUGGGGUUGGCAGCUCGGCUACCACUCUGUCUUUUGGCACCGGGUGCAGCUCGUAGGUGCCGUCGGUGAGGUUUAGUUCUACACGGAAAUGCAAAUGCAGGGGUUAAACAUUUAGACAGUUAAUUCAACAACACUUGCAAGCUUUAGACUAGAAAAUGUAGCAAAACUACACGAAAAGUGUGGAAAUCCCAGCUUCUGUUGAUAGAGAAUAAGGUAAAAGAGUCGGAUUGGGGAAAAACUUAUGAUCUGACCCUCAGACCUAAGGAAUAACUGUACCGGGGUCCUCAGACUUAACACAGAGAAGUUCCCGAAUUUUACACAGAUACCCUUGGUCAAAAGAAAAGGAUACAACCGAGCCCUGGGCGAGGCGGACAAAGGUCGGGCGAAACAGAUAGGGUUGGGCGAGACGGAAAAGGGGUCGGGCGAACCGGAUAGGGGUCGACAGCUUACCUUUUGGGCCUACUGGUGAAGUCUUGGGGUUGGGAAGGAACAGACUAAGGCGGAAAGGUUUAAGGUGCUAAGGCAUAGGCGGCGAUAGGGUCUGGCGGUGCUCCGGCGGCGGCGGUGCUUCUUGUGGACAACAAGUAAGCUCUAGCACCGUGCGGAGGACACAAACGGCUGGUGGGUUGGAAAAAGCGAGCGUUAAGCGGAGAGGGGGGGUUCCUUAAGAGUUUAUGCGGUAGCGCUUGAGUGCGAAACAGAGAAAGGUGCAGCAAGGCAACGAUGGCGACGGGGACUCUGGUAGAGGCUCUGGUACUCCCUUUUAUAGCUGCGCGGAAGAGAAGGAGUCCGGGCAGUGCGAGGAUCAGGCCGGAAGAGGAUGAAGUGCUCUGCCAUGGUGGCGAUUGGUCGACACCUCCAUUGGCCGGCGAAGCGGAGCUUCGGGGAUAGGGUCUUCGGUCAUUGGGCACUAGAUACAGAGCUUGUGCAGGCACGGUUUUGCCGGAAGGAAGGAUUGGCGAUAGCGAGCGCGGGUCUGGUCGUGUCAAGCGGCGGGUUGGGGGCGGCGGCUCGGCUAGCGUGCGGUAGGAAGGAAGGAAGGGGCACUGCAGGUGAGGGCGCUGCAGGCGAGGUGACAGGGCGAGCGGCGACGCUAGCAGGCAUAGACCAGCGGCUUUGCUGGGGCACGCUACUGGCGAGGCGGAAAAAGGAGUUAUCACUGCCGGAGCCGUGGUUGGCGAAGGCGGUAUCGUCGCGGGGCGCAUGCGUGGGCAGCGCAACUGAGGGGGUGACGGAAAAGUUGGAAGGCAUUGGGACGCGGCCGGGGAUCUGGUGAGGAGAUGCGCGCGGGAGGCGAGGCUGUGUGGCACGGCAGCGGCCAAUCCUUGGUUGUAGCGGCGACAGGGCGCCUGGCACGGCCGGCGAGGUUGCGGGUGAGAUGAGACGAGAUGGAAAGGGCUGCUGGGCGCUUCCGCACGUGAUUGGGGACGAGGCGCGCUGAUCCAUCUUGUCGCAGCUGGCGACUGGGCGAGGCGGCGCUCGUUGGGGAGGCUGAGCCACGCGGCGGAGAGGCUCUGAAACAAGGCGCACGCUUGCUCUGACGCGCCUGACCCGAGAGAUCCAUGGGAUCUAUUUCUGGGUCCAUCCUCCGGUCUUUGGUUCUCCCAAAGUUGGGAAGACACUGGUUUCGGGACUUAGAGAAAAGCUGCUAUUUGUUGGGUUUCAGGGGUCGGGCUGAUAACUGGACUUUAGCGGAUAUGGCUCGAGAAAAGCUGAGUCAACUGGAUUAGGGACUUGUCUUAAGAUUAACUCGGCUAAUAAAACCUAAGUCGUUACAGCCUACCCCCCUUAAAAAGAAUCUCGUCCCAAGAUUCGGGUGUAAGGGCAACCACUGGGGGUGUGCGAUGCUUACCUCCUUGGCUAAAAAGAAAGCCUCUAAAGUGCUUGUUCAGAUACUCCUCUGUUUCCCAUGUUACUUCAUCCUCUGUGUGGUUACUCCAUAGAAUCUUGUAUAUUUUCACCAUUUGUCGUUGGGUGUGUCUCUCCUUACGGUCGAGGACUUUGGCCGGGUACUCGGCAUAGGUCAGGUCGGGUUCAACUUGAAGUUGCUCCUGUUCCAAGAUUUCAGUCGAGACUUGGACACAUUUCCUCAGUUGGGAGACAUGGAAAACAUCAUGAAUGACUGAGAGCUGUUCGGGUAGCUGGAUUCGGUACGCGACGGGUCCGCAAAUUUCCACAAUCUCAUAAGAGUCAAUGUAACGGGGAGCCAAUUUCCCUUUUACUCCAAACCCCAAUUAUACUCUUUUAACCCAUGUUUAUGUAUUUCUAUGAUUGCUUGCUUGAUUUCUUACGUAUAACUACAAUUAUGUAGAAAACAACGAUGCCGGAAACACUUUUGAUGACCCGGAUUAUGAGGAAGAAGCUUUGAACGAUCCGGACUUCAAGGAAGGCAAGUACCACAAAUCAUCAUCAUCUUUUGAUCCCAAGCUUUAUUAACAAAAUAAACUAAGAUAAUAACUAAUUUACUUUAUAAGCUUUACAUAUUUUCUUUAUUUCCUUGCUUAGCUCAUCCUAAUAAUUUUGAGCCCUCCUUGAUAUCAUGAACCCCAUAUACACUAGGUCAUAUCAUGACUCACAAAUCCUAAGGAAGAGUGAGAGUACUUUUAGAAAUGGCAUAAAUGCAACUAAAGUGAGUCUAGCAACCAGUUAAGGCUAGACCCGCGAGUAAGAGGGUAGCCUCGGUAGAGGAUCGUAUCCUAAAAGCUUACUUUAGUCAUAUGAGGACCGGCUCAUGGGAAAGUCUUUCUAGUGGACAGUACAGCCGCGCGUGAUAAAAAGGUACACCCUUCAAGAGUGCCUAAACAUGUGAGACCUAGAUUCACACCCCAACAACUAAACCUAAUAAACCAUCCCAAGGGGCCACAGUGGGCAACAGAUAGACUGGAGCAGGACCUUCGCAGAGUCCCAGGUCUGGUCAGCAUGGGUCAUGAGUUGAGGUCCGUAGGACCUGUUGACAUUGUAUGUCAAGUUAUGAUGCAUCUUUUCCCGGGACAGAGUCCACAAGUGGACAUAGUGUGACCUACCCCAGCCAUAUCUGUGGGCAGAGUUAGGGAAUGUUGUCUAGGAAUAGAUACGGGUGGGUACGGGUCUUGUGGGUCAAUACCACCUCCAUACAAGGUAUGGGCUGAUCGAACGUGCGGGUAAAGUGUACACCUCUACGCAAAGUUAUAAAACUAUUCAAAUAGUUGAGGCUCUCGAUCAAGAGCUCACAUAGUUAAAUCUCCCAUUGAUUAGUUAUAACCUGCUUUAUGAAAAGAGUGAGAUUCAGGCUUGUCCCGGUAGCAGAAGCCAUCUAUGUACAAAAAUUCUUACCUUAGCACUGCAGAAUUUGUUGAACUUGAAGAUCAUGAUCAUCUCGGCAAGUAUGUUCUCAACUGGGCACCACCGUACUUCGUCAUGGAAGAGCUUCAAUUUUAUGAGAAAGGGGACACAGUCUUCCACGAUGUUUGUUGCCGCUUUUUCUUAAAAUUGAAGCUCCUCCUUAACAUCCGUUGCUGCUCCACGGAGAACAUGCUUACCGAGAUGAACACGGUAUGUCUGCAGAACUUGUUGAACUUGAAGACCGUGAUCAUCUGACAAGCAUGUUCUCAACUGGGCGGCACCACACUUCGUCAUGGAAGAGGUUCGAUUCUAAAAAAAGAGGACACGGUCAUGAUAUUCGUAUCCACAGCCUCCAUCGUUUCUGGCUCCGUUGUCCCUUCCGUGAUCACAGCCGAAGCUCCCAGGAAAGCUCCAGUUAUGUCGCGUGCCACUGCUGCCACUGAACCUCGCCUUGAGUUUUUUGAUAUGGCUGCAUCGACGUUGUUCUUAACAAAACCCGUCGGAGGAGGAAUCCAUUUAGACACAUUCCUCUUCUCGCUCAUCUUUUUCUCCGACGUACUUUGACCACCUCCACGAAGCAGUGGGUGGAUAACGGGCUCUGAAAAAUAUUUUCAUGAAUCGCUUUUCGUAUGGCAAACCAUAUAGCUCACAUCGUGAGCACCACUCGUAUCAUGUCAUCCUGCGGUAGACGGAGACGGUCCGGAGUUCAUCAAACAAGCACGCGUCACUAGCAAAAAAUGUUGGGCCUGCUAAUAAACAAUCCAGACCAUACAAGUGGGCCCUUAAGGCCUGGACCUGUCUCUGGGCCUAGAAAGAUUGGUUUCGUUUGCUUGGUUGGAUCCAUGGCAGCUUCCACGAACUAAUUUUACUUAUCACGUUCGCAUCCAUUUCAUCAUCUCCCGUUUUUAUCUUUCAAGUUAAACGCGGUAUCUGAAAAUAAUAUACUCUCCAGUCUCCAAUAUGAUGUAGCAAAACUUGUGAACAUAAAGCAAAACGAUCGCAUUUAACCAAUUAAUGGUUUCAAAAUUUCAACGCCUCCGAUAAAUUUUGACCGAAACUUUUAGCAAAAUCGCGAAUUGUGUUAAUUUCUCCGGGGAACGAAAUUCUAGCCAAACCAAAAGAGAGAACCUGUGUUCACAAUGCAGCCAGAAUGCGGGGAUACAUAUUACAUCUUUGUUCAGUUCAGGUGAAUUAUUGGCCACACCACAAGAGGCCUCAAUUAUUUUGGGUCGCAUAAUGUCGCGAUACAUACCAGUACAAACUUAAACGCAGCACACACCCCACAAUGUGCAGCAUAUACACGUAACACACCAUAUACAGUAUAGAAUACUUGCAGCGCGGACAGAUACGGCGAUGCGUACAGCAUACAUGUACAUAUACGGAGCUCGGGCGGCACGUGGCCAGCACGAGGCCGGGCGGUAGCGCCUGUUUGCAUGCAUGCAACCUACGCGGCGAGAUGUCCUCCUCGACCAAGGCUACUUCGUUGAGACAGCGACCACCGGAACGAACGGGGUGGCGCACAGCAUCAGCGGCGAGCGGCGGCGCACGCCGAGGCCGGGCGCCUCCUCCAUGUCGACCUCGGCUACCCCCUCCGGCAGCGACCAGUCGAAGUGGUAGAGCAUCCCGACGAGCGCGAGCUCCAUGCUGGCGAGCCCAUAGUUGAAGCCGGGGCACAUCCUCCGCCCCGAGCCGAACGGCAGGAACUCGUAGCUGCUGCCCAUGAAGUCGACGCCGCCAUCCUCGAACCGCUCCGGCUUGAACUCCUCGGCGUCGUCCCAGUACUUGGGGUCCCGGCCGAUGGCGAAUGCGUUGAUGACGACGCGGGACUUGGCCGGGAUCGUGUACCCGUCGAGCUCGCAGGGCUCGAUGCUCUCUCGGGGUACCAGCAGCGGCGCCGGCGGGUGCAGCCGCAGCGCCUCCUUGAUAACCAGCUUCAGGUAGCGGAGGUUGCUCGCCUGCAGGUCGGCCUCCGUCACCACUGACUUCCCAUGGAACGCCUCCCGGAUCUGGCCCUGCAGCUUCUUCAUCACCGACGGGUUCCGCAUCAGCUCCGACAUCCCCCACUCCAUUGCCGACGCCGACGUCCCCGUCCCGCCGGCGAACAUGUCCUGCGUGUGUACUCUGGCUCAAUGGCACAGACCUAUCGAUCGAGCUAUGAGACUAGGGGCAAGGAAAUGCUAGGGCAUAUAUACCAGUAUGAUGGCCUUGAUUCUGCUGUUGUUGAGGUGGAAGCCGAAGCCACCUUUCUCCUGCAGGCCGAUGAGCACGUCGACGAGGUUUUCCUCGGCGUUCUCAGCGCCGCUCUUGACCUUCUCGUCGAGGAUGGCCUUCCUCUCGUCGAUGAUCUCCUGCAGGAUGGAGUCCACCGUCCUGUGGAUGUCCUGGAGGCUGCGCUUCAUGCCCGUGAUCUUGGCCAGCACGGUGGUCCACGUCGGGAACAGGUCCGGGAUGCUGAAGCCGCUCGACAGCCCGACGCCGGCCUUGAUGGCCGCCAUGAACUCCGGCGCGUUCUUCCGCUUCUUGCCGAACGCCGCCCGCGACACGAUGCUGUUGGUCAGGCUGUGGAACAUCACGCUCAGGUUCACCGGCGCUGACGGCCCCGCCGCGCGGAUCUCCGCCAGCUUCAGCGCCACCUGUAUUAGUACAAAGUCCGUCACGUCAACAGUCUUUAUUUGUCAUGUUUGUGUUAUUAACUGUUCAGGAGAGUUGCCAUGGACGGCGCCCGGCGUUGCGCUCACCUCGUCCUCCCUGAUGUGGCGGAAGGAGAGCACGCGCUUGGGGCUGAGGAUCUCGGCGGCGCAGAGUUGUCGGAGCUUGCGCCAGUAGUCGCCGGAGGGGGAGAAGAGGAUGUCGGCCCAGUCGUACCCGACGAUCUCGCCAGCGAGGAGCUUGGGCCGGGUGGCGAAGUUGGUGUCGUGGGUCUUGAGCACCGCGCGCGCCGUCUCCUUGGACGAGGCCACCACGAGCGGCGUCUCCCCGAGCCGCAGCAUCAUGAGCGGGCCGUGCGCGGCGGCCAGGUCCCGGAGCGCGCGGUGGGGCAGCACGUUCACGAGGUGGUGCAUGCUGCCGAUCACCGGCAGCUUCCACGGCCCCGGCGGCAGCCGCGGCCUCGGCCUCAGGGCGAGCUUCACGAGCUGGAGCAGCGCGACGGCGGCCACGGAGAGGAGGAGCGACUGGUAGAAGUAGUCGUCCAUGACCGCUGCAGAAGGUUUGCUAGUAGCUAGCUGCUGAGUUUGCUUGCUGUGUGAGUGUGUGGACUGUGGUUGAUGGUUCACUGCCUUGGUUUGGGCUCGUAUAUAUAGCGCAAGUAAGUAGGGCACCGGCCAUAUGCAUGCAUUAUUGCCCCCAUGUCGUCACGAUGGUGACGCAAACUCUCUCGUCAAGGUCCGAGCUUUACUUGAACAUGGAGCAUCGAUCAUGUGUUCACACGCACUACCCUGCAGGCUGGAGGCCAGCGGUCUCGUACGUGAAUAACGUGUGUGUUGGUGCCUAAUGGAAACAAUUUUUGCUAAGCAGAGUACACGUAUGUGUCCGUAGGAUGGCAAGUGUGACUAUUCCAUCCAUCACCGAUCUCUGCAUGUGAUGGCAAUCUCCUGUUGAUCCCGGAGGGAGAAAAGAAAAGCGACCCAGAGACUGCUGACUGAUGAUCGUAGAAGGCGGAAACGACAGUACAGACAGGACCACUGACAUCUCGAUUGCAUUGGUUUCCUGACCAAUUGACGAUCGAUCAUCAGGCCAUCGAUCGUACGCAUGUGAGUGUGACGAACAUGCUGUGCAGUAGAUUGUUUGCUACCUUUACGCAUGAUACACAUGUUCCUACUGGCACGGGUCGGGAGGUAGUCACUACGGGAUUCAGGUCGUCUGCCGUGUCACUCGACAAAGGUCUAAAAAUACUCGGCAACAUUAUUUACCGAGUGUUGCGCUUAAUAACCGACACUCGGGAAAAAUCUUACCAGCAAACAAUCUUUACCGAGUGUUUUUUGUCGAACACUUGACAAAACUUUUACCGAGUGCGAAAAAACACUCAGCAAAUAUUUUUUAAAAAAAUUAAAAAAAACAAAGAUGCCGGCAAGCUCAUCGCCACUCGGUAAAUAAAAAAGCACUCCACAAAUUAAAGAUUUCCGGUAGUAAGUGAUGGAAGCCGUACACGUACGCCCCGAUGGCGCGGCCUGAUCAGCCAAGACGCCUCACCGUGUUGCGGUGGAUUGGAGGAUAAUCCUAAACAUUACUGCGUGCUCGCUACGACGUUAGCGUGUCAAACGUGACCCGUCGACGUGUAUUACGUACCUACCACCUUGUGUCAUAUACAAGUAUACUGCUAUUUGAUUAUGUGACUAGUACUCGGUCGGUCUUCAACACUUUGGGCUAACUCUAGCUAGCUACUGGUCGCGUUUACUAAUUACAUAAUUUUGCAUGCUACGGGGAUCGAUGUGGUGGGCAUGUGAUGACGGACUGAUGAGCUUCAAUCGCUGCCACAACAAACUCGGAGACUGAAAGCUGCAAUAAUGAUGUACAUGGUGUGGAAUAUCUGGAAGGAGAGAAAUCGAAGAAUAUUUGAAGGAAGAAAGGAAUCACCAUUUGCAAGUGGUGUCGUUCAAAAAAAUUUAGAUCAACCUAGGAGGGGUAGGCAAUUUUUCAUUAAUUACAAGAAAUAGGUAUCCAAAUUCGAGCUAUAGGGGACUCGAAUCUAGAUGGUUAGAGUGCACGACCACACUUUCCACUCUAAUUAGUUGAGCUAGACUUAGUUCCUGUGGUGUUGUUCAUCAAACAGGAAUCAAAUGAAUGGAGCAGCGCAGACAAGCAUGCGGCUCGCCGGGAAUAACUUGGUUCUAAUGUUAUUAUUGUAUCCUAAUUCCUUUGAGUUGAAGAGUUCGAUUUUAAUUAUGUAAUAUGACCUAUGUAUCAACCUUAUUGCUUCUUCUACUUAUCAUGAUAAGGUUUUCAAAAAAAAAAUUGCAUGCGCACAGUGGUUAGAUCGAGACGCCGGGCAUAGUGUAUGUUCGCAGUUUAGACGGAUACUACUUGGUUGAGUGAAGUCGAUUAUUUCGUCUUCUCCGGCGAAGUUCGUCCUGCCGGAGGUUCCUUGUUCGUCUUUUCUUUCGAUUUUGGUUUUGAUGGAUCCUUUGCGGCUUACUUUCUGUUGACGCUUUUUUCGGUCAACACACGAAUACACUAGCUCGCGUGUACACCAGAAGAUCACCUCGUCAGCACCGCUGCACUGGUCGGUCAGACCGGUCAGAGGGGCCGGUCAGACCGGUCCUCGCAGAGUCACCGGGAAAGCCUAGAAUCACCACCUCGGGAGGGGCCCCGUCGAAGAUGGCAUGUCUAGGGUUGCUUUGAGAUCGGUCAGGCCACUCAGAGUUUCCUCAAACGCUGUCGAGACGAAGGAGGAAAGCAAGGGGUUAGAAAAGUUAGGGUUUGGAGAUAAAAGGUAAACAUAUUUGUUUGACGAUUGGGUAUUAGCCCUCAAUUGGCCAGGGCCCUUUAUAUUUAUAGGGUGGGAGGCUUUUUCCCGCAAGGAAAUCCCAUUUCAACUCCAAUUCAACCACGAUUCCUAAUUUUGCCUCGAAUUCGGGCUGACCGGUCUGACCGGCUAGGGCAACCGGUCAGACCGGCUGGCUCGUGCAAGACCAGCUAUAGCAACCAGACCGGUCAGACCGCUCGGAGAAACCGGUUUGACUGGCUGGUCCAGCCUGGUCGGCAUUACUGCCACUUUUGGGCUCCAACACCCCCCCGUUUCUUGGCAAAGCUUGCGUGCCAAGAAAUAAACCUAAGGGCAAUGAAUUCCACCGGCCAUUUACUUCUAAGGACGAUAUUUCAAAAUAUCAGCCAUAUUGUUUUAAGCGUCUUGCCAAACACUUAGAUGAUACUUCUUCAAGUACUUCCUAUUCAGAGCUCUCGGUAGCUGAAAUCCACUUAAAGUCUCCACCAUAUAGGAAUUUUCAUGGAGCACAGUUGUAAUCUUGUAUGGCCCUUCCCAAUUUGGAGACCACUUUCCAAAUUUGUUGCCCUUGGUUCCUAUAGGUAGAAUCAUCUUCCAAACCAGAUCCCCUACCUGAAAUGUUUUGGCUUUGACCUUCUUGUUGUAUGCUCUUGCUACCUGAAUUUUGUCUUUUUCAAUUUUCACCAAAACCUCCAUCCGCUUGUCGGUCACCUCGUCAAUUUUAUCCAUCAUCAAAGCAUAGUCGGUGUCAAAAUCAAGAUCAUUCUGCUUAGCCACCCUAUAUGCACAUAGACUAAUUCAUUAUUACUAUGUACUAUUUACUGAAACUUGAACUAUUAGCCCUCGGGAUUGACGAACCGUCAGAAGCCCCGAGGCCCUUCCAAGGUGAAGGAUAAUAUGAAUCUUAUCAUCAUGGAAGUCACAAAAGAGGGCAGGCCAGUUUCUCCCGAAAAAGCGGCAACACAGUACGUGAGUCAAAUCGGGGCAAUCGUAAGGGACAAAGUGCCCAUCAGCAUCAGGGAAUGGAAGGGCAAAAGAAAUAAUCCAUAUGCACUCCAGGAUAUAGAAAAGAAUAUGCUGUGGGAAAAUGUCAAGACACAUUUCACAUUUUCCGAUGGAUAUAAUGAAAAUGAUGUGAAAGCGUGGACGCUGAAGAAGAUGGCCACACAAUUGCAGACAUUCAAGAAGAUGCUAGAUGCAAAGUACCGUAAGAAGGAACGAACUCCGAAUUUUACUAAGUGACCAAAGUUGAGGGACCACUGGGAGGUAUUUGUACAAUACAAGAGGAGCAAUGACGGCAUUCAAAAGGUCGUCACCAACACAGGGAAUGCUGGUCAUAAGGAGUACCAUCAUCGUCUAGGGAGAGGUGGUUAUGGCAAAGCAAUUCCAAAAUGGAAGAAGAUGGAAGCAGGCCUGAUCAUUUGGGGUAUCGUACCAGCAACUUUUGACUAGCCUGAUCGAUCGAAAAAUUGGUAUUGUGCUCAUGGAGGCUCCCUGAGCGAAGAAGAUGGGACACUGAUCUUCACUGAGAUAAUACGUGAGACGGCCAAAAAGCUUGUCGAGACCAUUGAAGUUGUUAAGGCAAGGAGGUUGAAGGUGUUCCGAGAGAAUGAUGAGCUCACAUGGGCCCUCGGGAAUCCUAAAAACCCAGGACAUAUUCGAGGGUUCGGGUUUGUUCCGUGGAAGUUCGCAUUCCGAGGCAACUUGGACACGUACAGAAGCGAGAAGCGAAGAAAGGAACAAGAGGAUGAGAGCUGGCAGCGCACGAUAGAAGCCAAAGUGCAAUCUGUUGAAGUAAGAAUGCAGGAAGAAGUCAGUCGUCGAAUGGCCGACGCAGUUGCCAGCCCUUCUCAACACCUUGGGAGCAGCUAUGCGUCCACAGGGCUCCCUGAUCCACAGACGCCAAGAUUACCCGUGGAUGUGCAACGGUUCCCUAUGGAUACCAUCACGAAUCGCACCACAUGUGAGUUGCAUACACCGGUCAGCAACCUCAGCAUUAAGGUAUACUUAUACAUAAUAUUUAUGCACCGGACGACAAUCUUAAUCCAUCAAUCCACGGGAUCAGAGUUUAAUGCUUGUCUUCAUCUCUUCUAUAUGUACAGGUUGCAUACGGGAGUGCCUUACCAAUCCUGCUAGGGUAGACAAGCCAUGUCCUGGAGAUUCCACCCGGCUAUGCUAGCGUUGGGCUAGAGCAGAUCGCUGAUAGCAAAUAUGAAGACCUAGAGCUCGACAUCCCGCUAAUCGAUGGGAUAACAACACUAGGAGAAGCGUUUCACGGUGUCAUUCUAUGGCGCAUAUGCUACAUCAUCAUCCCUGACGCGGAGGCAUCUCCUCAGAGCUCAAGACCGCUCCCCGCAAAUCCCUAGCAGCGACCAUCUCCUCAAACAUCAAGACCGCCAUCUCCACCAGAACUUGCUCCAGGACCAUCGCUUCCUGCUCGAUCAAGGUCUCCAUCUUCACCGGAAAGAAAAAAUUAAGAACUUUACAUAUUUCGAACAUGCAAAAAUAUAUUAAAUUAGCAAGUAUAUUUAAAAUAAGUUUGAAUCUGUCAUUAAUUCUAUACUAGUUCUUUUAGUUUCUAAAAUAAUUAUUUUAAUGCAUCACUAUCAUCAACAAACUAUUCAAUUAAAUAAUUUUAAAGCGCAAAAAAUUCAAUUGAUGUAUGUGGUUAACAUUGUUUAUAUUGUUCGAAUAAAUCUUCACCUCAACUAAUUUAUACACACAAAUUUAUAUAUGUUCCCCACUGGUUUUGUUAAAAAAAAUAAAAACUUUACAUAUUUCGAACAUGAAAAAUAUAUUAAAUUAGCAAGUAUAUUUAAAAUAAGUUUGAAUCAAUCAUUAAUUCUAUACUACUUGUUUAAGUUUCUAAAAUAAUUAUUUUAAUGCAUCACUAUCAUCAACAAACUAUUCAAUUAAAUAUAUGUGGUUAACAUUGUUUAUAUUGAUCGAAUAAAUCUUCACGUCAACUAAUUUAAACACACAUGAAAUCAUAGAUACGUUAAAUUAAAAAUUUUAUCAAGUAGUACAAUUAAUGUAUAACCAUGAAAUUAUAGAACAUUACAAUAUAAUUCACCAUAGAGCAUUACAAUAUAAUUCAAAGAUUCUGAUGGCUAUAGAGAAUUACAUAAAGGUGAACCAUAUUUAGUGCAUUACAAUGUAACAUUAAAAAACUUCUUCUUGAUGAAAGUUCCUUGGUCAUGAUCGCGGCAUAAGUACGGAGCCUCUUCUUUGACUAGUAUGAUGCUUGGGUCAACUUCGAUAGUGAAUGGAGGCAUGCCAUCGAACUGAUCAUAAUCAUCUAACUGGUCUAUUUUAUCCUCGACUCCUACAAUUUUUCUUUUCCCUGGAAAAACUAUAUGGCGCUUUGGCUCCCAUGGCUCUUCUGAAUUUUUCUUAGGCUUGCUAGACAUGUCAUUCACAUAGAAAACCUGAUGCACAUCAUUGGCAAGGACGAAUGAUUCAUCAUUGUAUCUAGUCUUAGUCUGGCCCACUAUUGUCAUUCCGUACUGAUCUUUCAUUAUGCCAUCUCCAGGUAGCUUCACCCAUUGGCAAUAAAACAGAUGGAUGUUCAGCGAUCCGUAUUCGAGUUCCCAGAUCUCCUCUAUGAAACCAUAAUAUGAGUCCUUGCUCCUGUUGAUGUCUAUGACAUCUAUGUGGACACCACUAUUGUGGUUCGUGCUUUUCUAGUCUUGGGCUCUUAUGUAAAAUGUAUAACCAUUUAUCUCGUAACCUUGGAGUUUCACGAUUGUGCUAGAAGGUCCCCUAGCUAACCAAGCGAGUUGUUCGUGAAUCAUGGAGUUACCCAUAAGGUGUUGACGCAACCAAGAGGGAAAAGUAUCCAUAUGAUGACGUAUAAUCUAGGCAUCGGAUUUCAUCGGGUAUUGGGACAAUAGAAUCUGCUUGUGUUCCUCGAUAUACGGAGCCACAAAGGAUGAUUGUUGCAGAAUAGUGAAGUGUGAUUUGUGGAACAAAUCAGUAUUAUUUCUCAAUCUUGAUUUCCUUCCAAGGGUACUCGUUCCCCGCAGCCUCCCCUCGUGGCGUGAAGUUGGAACCCCAAUCGAAUUAAUUGAGUUAAUAAAAUCAACACAAAACUCAAAGACCUCCUCUGUUCCAUAUCCCUUGGUGAUGCUUCAUUCUGGACGGGCACGAUUAAAAACAUAGUUUUUUAAGACUAACAUGAACCUCUCGAAAGGCCACAUAUUGUGCAGGAAUACUGGACCGAGAUUAGUAAUCUUUUUGACUAGAUGAACUAGGAGGUACGUCAUAAUAUUAAAGAAGGAUGGUGGAAAUACCAACUCAAACCUGACAAGACAUUGUACCACAUCAUUUUGUAGCUUUACUAGCUUGGUUGGAUCGAUUGCCUUCUGCGAAAUCGCAUUGACAAGCGCGCAUAGCUUUACGAGCGCCAAUCGGACAUUCUAUGGUAGAAUACCCCUCAGUGCAACCGGAAGCAACUAGAUCAUCAACAUGUGGCAGUCAUGAGCCUUGAGAUUUGUGAACUUCUUUUCUUUCAUAUUUAUUAAUCCCUUUAUAUUCGAGUACCCGGAUAGAACUUUGAUACUAUUCAUGCAUUCAAACAUGCUAUCCUUCUCUUCCUUGCUGAAAGUGUAACUAGCAGGAUGUAAGUAGUGUUGUCCAUUAUCUCUCUUUUCUGGAUGUAGGUCAUCUUGUUGCUUCAUACGUUUUAGGUCCUGUCGUGCUUCCAAUGUAUCUUUUGAGUUCCCAUAAACACCCAUGAAGCCUAGCAUGUUCACACAAAGAUUCUUCAUAAGAUGCAUCACAUCUAUUGCGUUGCGGACCUCUAGGAUUUCCUAAUAAGGUAGCUCCCAAAAUAUUAACUUUAAAUGCUUCAAAUGUGGUAUUAACUUAGCAUUCGCCUUGUUUCUGAACAAAAUAUUAACUUAGCAUUCGCUUUGUUUCUGAACAAAUGCUUCAAACGUGGUAUUAUAGGGAAAUACCACAUCACCUUCACGGGAACUCUCUUCUUGGGAGGCUAGCCCUCGAUAUCACCAGGAUCAUCUCACCUGAUCUUAUACCGCAGUGCUCCGCACAUAGGACAAGCAUCCAAUUUCUCGUAUUCAUCACCACGAUAAAGGAUACAAUCAUUAGGGCAUGCGUGUAUCUUCUGAACCUCCAAUCCCAGAGGGCAAACAACCUAUUUAGGUUCAUAUGUUGUUGAUGGCAAUUCAUUAUUCUCGGGAAAAAUGUUCUUGACAAUUUUCAAUAUCCCCUGAAAUGGUUUAUCGGACAUACAUUUUUUGCCUUCCAUUGCAGAAAUUCUAGUGUGGUACUCAGUUUUUUAUGCCCUGCUUGCAAUGUGGGUACAACAAUUUUUUGAGAUUAUCUAUCAUGCGGUGCAACUUUUAUGAUUCCUUCUCAGUUUCGCAAUCUCUGUGUGCAUCCUAUAGCACCUGAACAAGACCAUCAGCAGGACCAUCUUCUGCAAACUUGUAACACCUGGUGUUCAAUAAUCAAAGAUAACCAAAAAAGGUUAAAGAUGCAUUGUGGAGAAAAAGAGAAAAAAAUUGACUAAAAGUCAAAUUCAAGUCAAAUUUGACCAAAAUUUGAAUUUUUGAAUCUAAAUUCAGAAAAAGUUGGCAAAAAUAUGAAAUGAAGGCUUGAGAGUGUUUAAAACUUCAGGGAUUAAGAUUGGAGACUAACCCUAGUCCUAAACCUCUCAAGAAAUGCAAUUGAAAAAUGAAAUCAGGGAAGUACUAUUCACUGUCCGAAAAUAGCAACUUCAGAAAAACAGCACAAGUAUCCAACUUGGAAAUAAAUUUCUGCCAAAUUUUCCAAAUAAGUGGACAAAAACAACUACACAACAAUGCAGUAUAAUCUUUGGACAAGUAUAAUAGGGUGUUGUUGGUCAAGAAUAGUAAAGGGAUCAAAUUCAAAUUGAGGCUCAAAGUCAGCACCUUGCCAAUUUUGGCCUAAGUACUGAAACUGCCUGUCUCUCUAAGUCUGAAACAGCAGCAAGUGCCUAUGUUUGGAGCGAGAAUUAGAGAGAUGUAGUGCAAGAGGUAUAGGUAUUUAUGAGCAAAAUGGGAUCUCUGUUAGUUGUAGAGCAUGAAUGGUUAGUAGUUGGACUAAGAGGAAUGAGUUUGGGCCACUGAAAAUGAAUCAAAAGAAGGGUAAAUGGCCAUGCACAAUGACUGUCGAACUGAAUCAAAAAUUCAGGGCAUUUCAGUUUGCCCGAGAAAGGAAUUAAAAAUUGGCAACCUUAGGAUGUUUAUCUCGAGAGGAAGUUUAAAUAUAAAUCAAAGAGCUCAAGUUUAUCUUCAACUUUGCUUAAGCAACUUGUGGACCGUCGGAAUUAAAAUCGACCGUGGGAGAAGUAUGAAGUUUCGGGUGACAGAAAAGAAAAAGGGAAUGGCAGUCAGCAGAACAGGGAUGUGUCACCGCCGGCGCCUUCACCUGUCGUCUAGCUCAACAUCUAGGUACACCUCUUCACCACGCAAGCCUACGACUAGGCCACGGUGUCGUCCAUGCGUGCGGUGAAUCUUUCGUAUAACUACCGCUCCCGCCGCCGCUUCUUACCGUGCCGCCUUUUUACCGCCACCCGUGACUCUCUAUCAAGCUGCCGCCACCGAUCAAUUUCCCCGCCACGACGCCUUCCCCGUCGAUUCCUUUCGUCCACACCUCCGUUCACACCUUACCAACAGCCGUGCCUACUUGUUGUCCUGCUUUUUCCGCCGGCGAGCUCCUAGCUGUCGUCGUUUCCACCCGCCGCCGCCAGACCUCCUGCUCACGGUGAGCUUCACCUUGCCGCCACUCUCCUUCCUUGUGGUAAGCCGUAGGUAAGCUUUUGGGGUACUAGGAAGCUAUAGGAGUAGUUGGGGGACCGAGUUGAGCCGUUGCCGUGCUUGGCCACGGCCGGCCGUCGGUCAGGCCGCCCGCUGCCGUGGAGAGGGUAGCUCCGGCCAUCUCCCGGGGAGCCGCCGCCGCCCACGGGUGCGUUGUGGCUUGGGGAUGCCUCCCCAACCGAGCCCCAUCGCCAGUGGGGCGCCGGCCGGCUAGCCGUGCCGUCCCCUGCCGCGCUCUAUUUUGGCGCGAGGGAGAAGAAGGUGCUGGCGUCGGGGGGGCCGCGCGUCAGAAGAAGAAGGGCCGGCCAGCGCAGCGGAAGUGAGGUGGGUCGGGGUCCAGCAGGCCCAGGUGCUGGUGCGGAGUCCGGUAAAGAAAGAGGCCGAUGGGCUGGUGUGGCAGGCCGGGUGCCGCGAAAAAGAAAGAAAAAGGAAGCUGGGCCGUUGGGCCGGCAGGGAAGUAAAGAAAGGAGGAGAGAAGAGGAAUCGGCCCAGUGGGCCUAGUGGCCGGCGGGUAAAAGGAAUAGGAGGCGGAGGUGGACCCGAGCCGCGGGCCCAGCGCGAGUGAGAGAGGGUAGAGAGGAGGCGUGUGAGAAAAGUUGGGCCGGGGGUUUUGGGAUAAAAUUUAGAUUUUCUUUUGUUAGAAUAAUAGAUUAAAUUCGUGUAUCACCUUUUAAAUCAUAGAAAUUUCUAGGAGUGUCCAAAAUUAGUGAAACCAAUUUUGUUAGGAUUAUUUUAUUUUCCUUUAUGCAUUAAAAUUCUUAUACCUUAGGAAAAAUAAUAAAAUUUAGGUAUUUGUUUAAUGCCUUUUCAUUAAGGCAUUUCAAUAAAUACUUAACCUUUAUUAAAUGCAUAAAAUAUGGGAUAAUAUUUUCAUAUUCACAAAUUAUCAUUAACCCAUAGGAGUUAGGUUUUGAGACUAGAAAAUAUUUAUAAUAUUUUCUAAAAAUAAAAGAAAAAGCCUAAAGUAGGAUUAGUAAAGAAAAUAAAAGUGAUGGGUUAAUCUUUUCGGGUUUUUGUGUGUUGGCUUGCAACUUUAUCAUGAUAAAUUGUGUACUCACUUGUUGGCUUGCAACUUUAUCAUUGAGGCAAGUUGUAUAGUCUUGUAUUCAAAAAGUUGCAUCACUAACCCAUGCAUAUGCUACCGUAGACACCGAAGCACCUGAAGAGGAAUUCUUGGAAUUAUCAGAAGGAUCUUCGGAGUUUGAGGAGAUCGUUGAAUUGAUCCCCUGCGAAACCAAUCCGUCGGACAGUGCUAACAAUUUUAUAGAUCAAGGCAAGCCCCGGUGCAUUUAUACCUAUCUACUUUGGAGUUAUUAUUUCAUGUGUCCAAUUAUUGAUUAAUUUCUACGUGAAUGCAUUAAGUCUAGGAGUUGAUUGAAACCCAUUCUUGUGCAUGAUCUUACCUUGUUUUAAGGACAUCUUUGCCACUUGUUCAAACAAUUAGUAAGUAACCCAAGUUUAGAAAUGCUUAGAUUCUUAAAGUAGCUUAGUUACCGAACCUUAAGGUGAAAUGUUGGGUCAUACAUGCUAAUUAUGGAAAGGUAGCUUGGAAGUUUGAAAGGCAGACAGAAGUUAGAGAUGUUAGUUCUGUCUGCUAGAUUAAUUCAGUUAAGGCCCGAUCGUUGUCUUAACCUUUGAUCAAGUGAUUGUCACCUGGUUGCUUACUGGGUAUGGGACCAGUAAAGCCCGGUAGGUUAGUAGACUCUCUGAUCGGGAAUAUUUCGUACCCGUGCUUGACGUGCUGGAGAUUGGUAGGGGCGUAGCCUGAAACUCACAUGGAGAUCAGGCCAGACAUGGGGUCCCAUGUGGGGGUGCGUCCCUGGGUUCGGGUAGUCUUAUUCCCAAUCCUUGGGUUUACUAAUCGAAAGGUCGUUACGUACGACCCGGACAGUCGUACAUAGCUGGUGAUCAAGGUGCUCUCUUGCAGGAUGUUAAUUGAUACGGAUCGCCGCAAUUCUCGGUUAUGAAUGCACUUGAUCACUGUUGAGCAUCCUAGUAUGAUUGUAGUACAAUCUCAUGAAUACAAUGUCUCAUUGAAAUUAAUUUGUUGUAUGACUUAAUUUCCUAUUGCCUGCAAAAAGUAUCUCUUUGUCAUCAUCUAGAUUGGUUAGGUAAUGACUUAAUUAAGUUAAAAGAUAAAGUUAAGGCCUCACUUUUUAGUAAGCUCUUUUGGCUAAAGGUGAGUUAGCCAGUACACUAAACAGCUAUCAUGUAGUUCCAGAAAAACUAUUAUAUUGGUUAGUCGGGUAAGCUUUGCUGAGUACCCCGUACUCAGGGUUAUCCCUUGUGGCUGUUUCAGAAGCACAGCAGGAAUCCGCAGAGGAGGAAGCCCCAAAAACUAGGGUAUUGUCACGAGUCUCGCAAUACCCUAAGAAGAAAAACUUAAAUGUUCAUCUCUCACCUGGACCAGUUUAUGUUUUAAACUCCUCGAAUCCCUCUAACCUGCACUGUUAAGUUUAUUUGAAACUAUGUUCUGUAAUAAUUCGUACCCCUGUAUGUAUGUAAAAAUGUAAUAGAUGUUAAUGCUUUCCCAUCGUGGAAACGAUCCUGGUGUAUGGCUAUGAGACGUGACGUGGAUCUUUCAAGGAGUCCUAGGGACACUCGACGGACUACCGGACUUAUACUGUUUUAAGUGCAUUUCGGAUAAUUGCUGUUCCGACAGCGAUUAGGCGCAUUUAAACCAGUUUAAGUUGGGCGGUUCCGCCACAAAACUCAUCUUCAUCAGCCUCGCCCAUUGUAGUAUCUGUUAAAGCUUAGCCAGCAGCCCAGUCCGGAAUAUUGUUAUCAUCCUCCUCUUUUUUGUCGUCUUCCAUUACAACCCCUCUUUCACCGUGCUUGGUUGAAACCAAAUAGUUAGGCAUGAAACCUAUCCUAAACAAGUGGCUGUGAACAAUCCCCCAAGAAGAGUAGUCCUUGCUACUGCAUUGGAAGCAUGGACAAUGUAUAAACCCGUUCUCUGGCUUGUUCGCUUUGGCCACUUCGAGAAAAAUAAUUCAAGCCAUCAACAAACUUCUUGGUCCAUCUGUCCGCGUUAUACAUCCACUGCCGAUCCAUCUGCAUCGUAUUACAUGAAAAAUGAACACAGAGCUUCGUAUAGGAUUAUUGUUGAUAAUAUUUAGUUCUUGCAUUAAACAUGAGAUAAAUAAAUUAUUGGUCAAAGAAAUACAAUUAUUGUUAAAUUACAUUGACAUGAAAAAUUGUAGCAAUGACCAAAUUCUAUUUUCUUACACCUACAAUUUAUUUACAUUAAUUUUAUUGCAAUGACUAAAUAUUAAAAAUAUAUUUACUCUAUUUUUUCUCGUACCUAAUAUUGAUCAAGUUCUUUUAACUAAUACGAAUCGUAUAUAACAAGCAAGCUAUCAUCAAAUUCUAGCUAAAAAAUAUGUAUAAAUAAAAAUCCUCUCCAUUCUCCCUCAUUCUAAAAAAACUCAUUUUCCUGCCUCUCUAAAGCAUAAAACAAAGUGUAAUAACAAUAAAUGAAGGGAGGAUGAAGUAGCUAACCUUCAUAACACUUUGGAUGACUGAAAUCCCCAUGAAAAUGAGGAAAAAAAUUCGGGCAACACCUCCCCUAGGUUGCUUCGUCACCAUGGAGAGGAGGCCGGUGGAGUGGAGUGGCUCGGGCUGAAGGAGGAAGAGGAGCUCUCUGUGUGACAAUUUUAUAGGGAAGGGGAUUUUUUCCUGGUUCGAAAUUUCAACCGGGACAAAAUACAACCCCUUCUGUCCCGGUUGGUGGUUUUUUCCCGGUUGGAACCGGGACAAAAGACAUACCCUUUUGUCCAGGUUGGAAUUACCAACCAGGACUAACUCUUUUGUCCCAGUUGGUAACUCCAACCAGAACAAAAGGGUAGGCCUUGGCGUCGGUGCGAUUUUUUCGAUCGUUACAACCGGGAGUAAAGGGGAGGCUUUAGUCACGGUUGGUAUUUACAACCGGAACUAAAGCCUCCCCAGCCCCCCUCGUGAUUUUCGAUGGCACGUCACUUUAGUCACGGAUCUAAUAUUAAUUGGGAUAAAAAAAAGUGGAUGGAAGGUCAGUUCUCUGCUUAGUGUUCUCCCACUCAUCAUCCAACACUGACCUAAUAACAAAACCAAGAGCUGUUCGUGACCGCGGAGACCAAAUGGCCGCAUUCUUAUGGUAGUGGUACAACAUGAAUAUAUUAUACUAUGCAUGUGUGUAAGUUUAGUUUUACAGCGCAAUUUAAUUUGCGGUAGGACAAUAUGCUGCAUGAUUGUUUUCUAUCUCAGCGUCACAGCCUUUGGUGGCAAAUGGCCUGUCGGGCCACUAUCCUGAAAUCUAGUCAAAUUAGACUAAUUUAACUGAGAAAAAAAAUCAAAAUAUCUUGUAUUUCAGGACGGAUGGAAUAAAUAAGCAUUGGAAGCUAUCAUUGAGGUAUGGGUGGAUGGCUCGUUACCUCCUCCGAGGUAACAAGUCGUUACAUUCUGUUUAAAAAAAAAGUCAUUACAUUGUCAACCUUUGGAUUAAACUUAGUCUAUUAUUGGCAUUUACCCCGCAUAUGAGUUAAUCUUUUUUAAAAAAAAUCAAACCCUUUGGAGAGCAAAGUAGUGCCCUUCCUAUAUGAGAAUAUACAGCAAUUCAUGCCACAAGAUUGCAGUGUCACUAAACGCACUCCCCGCAGGAUCGAUACUAUCGUGCAUAAAUGUAUGUGCCGGUUAAUGUCACACAUGACAGCAGGUUCAGAGCGUGAACUGAAAGGAAGUGAGGGUACUUUCACUGGUUGGAUUGUUCCAGCUGACACUUUGCCGAGCAGAUGCAGGAAUCUUGUCCUUUCUUUCCGCCCACCCAACUAUAAUAAAAGUUAGCUCAAUCCAAGGCAUGUGGGUGGAGCAUUGAGCAACCCAAGGCCUUCAUUUCACCAACUGCUCCGCUUUGAUGAAUAUUUUUUUUUCUUUCUAGCUCGUAAUAACUAGAAUUUGCAACAAUUACUAAUCAAUCGAAAGAAAAAUCAGCAGAUGGUCCAACUGACAACCGAUGGUUAGAAAAAUCAUGUGCUUCAUGGAAAUUCGUGCAUUCCUCUGGUUUGAUCAUUAAGCUACUAGGCAUGUAGUAGUAGAUUACCCCUAAAGCCUCAUCGCCAGAAACAUGAAUUUUCAUUUGCGUCAGCCGUUGGCGAUGAAAACUCGUCGAUCUGCGUUGGCAGCUCUGGAGUGCCGCAUUUGGCUUGGCACGUCUCGACCAAGGAAAACGUAACGAAGAUAUAUAGGGGAAAUUUUGCACGUCCCAGCCUUGCGUAGCUGCACGCAGCGGCGAGCACAGACGCAGUUACUUGACGGCUGACGCCGGCGAUGCGAGCAGCCAAUGUCCACACUCGUUGAACAAGAUCCGAUCGAAGCCGCGUGCAUGCAUUGCGAUCUGCCAUUUGCGAGAGCAGAAACGGAAGCGAGGAAUAGGAAGGUUCAGGCACUCCUAGAUCUAGAUUAAAGAAAAUAUGUUACACCAAUUAUACUGGUAAUUGUGAUACGUACUCCUGCUCGUUUUUGAAGUGUUCGAUAUGGCUACUAACUUUUGACAGCAUUAUCAUACUUUACUUUUAAUAUCAAAGACAAAUCUAGUAGUAUUAUUUUUUAUAUAUAAUCAAUCCGGAGGGAUUAAAAUAGGUGAAUACGAACUAUAAUCAGUUUAUGGUAUAGGUUUCACCAAAACAAAAAGGAAAAACUAUAAGAACCAUACCUGUAUAUAUACAGAUUUUGAUUUCCCCACAAGUAAUUUUAAGUUAUUGCAAUGGCCAUCCCCUACAUGAUUUUUGUUGCAACUUACUACCUCCGUAUCAAAUUAUUAUUCAUUUUAACUUUUCUAGAUAAUCGACAACUCAUUAACAUACCACUGAACCACUUUUUAUUAACAUAAUGAUGAUGAGAUCCUAUUGCAGAUUAUGCUACUAAAUCCUCUGCUCUUUUUAGGUGCCUUAUUUCUCAUAUACCAUAAUUGUUUCUUCAUUGAGAAAAGGAUUUGACGACCACCGCCACGUGGCAUUGCUCCGUCAACCUUUCACCCAUUGCCAAAACUUCCCAGCUAUUGCCUCCCGUACGAGUCUAGGCUGUGUCGCAGCAAAUAUAAUCAAUAUUUAAGUUAGAUAUUUUUAGGAAUAUAUAAUCCUAACACUUUCCACGGAUUUCGCUAAAUGAAUACCCAACAGGAGCUUAAAUGUUGUCGUACAAAAUUUUGCUAUUUACAAAAGGAGGCUAAUCUAAGCAUUUGUUUUUGCUGCAGAGCUGUUCAGGAGCUUGCAUUUGAAACAAAUGGCUUAUGUGGAGCAAUCUAAAGCUCCAAGUGACAUGUGAGUUGCCUUUAGAUUUUACAAUUUUUCCAAAAUAAAAUAAAUAACACAAUAUUCAAACAUCUAAGUCGAUAUAAUGUGGUUCAACCUUCGCCUUAAAUUUUGAGAAACUGGACAAAGCGAGUGGAAAUUAUUUAUCAGCAAUCAUAAUGGCGUGAAACAAUGGAUGCUUCUAAAAUAACGCUUUAAACGAAUUCAGAAUGGAACGGGAGCGGAUGAACAACGCUAAAGAAACAUUCUACUGAAACAUGCUCCAAAUCCAAAUCCCUGCAACAUGUACAUCAAAAGAAAGAUUUUUGCCAUCACCUGAUAUUUCUUUUGAACUGCAGAACCCCCACCGACCAUAAUCCAAGCCGGAUAUGUUAGCAGUCAUAAGAUCAUUUACAGAUGGACAAAUCCCAACAAAAAUAACACAAUAGGAAGUCCUCAAAAUGCACAUACAGUUUGCAGAGUUACAGGGAUUUCAAAUAACAAACUCAUCACUCUGCAAGAAACAAAUCACAUGCUUCUUUUCAGAAGAGGAAAUCAGAUGAGAGAGGUGUUUGGGGCAGGUCAUUACAUGCUUAUAUGUGAAGCGACACGGCUAGCAGGUUCUUGCUAUCUACAGUGACGUCAAUGACAACAAAGAAGGCCAAACUAUCUUCUAAUCUCACCAAAACAAAAUUGAUAUGCCCAUCACAGAGCACCCAAUGGCUACCCAGGGGCUAAGGCGUUCACCUGAAAGGCAAAUGGUGAAAUAUUAGUUAAUUCUUUGAUAAGCUACAAACAAAUGUUAACAUAACAUGCAGGAAAAGUAUAAGACAUAUUUCAACUGUGACUUCAUAAAAGAAAAAGAUAGUCUCCAGAUGGAAACAAUACAUAUAAAAGCUUUGGCCCUGUAAGACAUAAUUAUAUAAAAAUGCUGUCUCAGCUUGACAUAGAAGUGAAUAGAACCUAACUCAGAAAAUAAUUUAACACACCCACUAAGUAGUCACUGCAACAAGAUUGUUCCCAUGUGUAAACUUGCUAAACAGACAUGAACGUAAAAACACCCAUUGAAUGGGCCUGUCUCCCCCAUACCAUGGAUCAUAUCAACUACAUGCAUUCUAUGCAUGUUAUUCUUGUGGGUAUUUUUAACUCACAUUCUAUGAUUAUCAAGUGGUUAAACAUCAUUUGAAACUUCCAUUAGAUAUCUAUGAGAUAUGUCAAGCACCAUAAAGGUUAUCAAGAUGAUUCAAGUGCUUAAAGCGUAGAAAUGACAGAUUAUUAUAUCAAGAUUCGGUAUAGUAGAAAAUGAAGGUAACAGCCAUCCACAUGCUGAUUUAUCUCCACACAAAUUCAUCUAAUAUAUAGCUCAUAUGUCAUUUCAAGAGCAAGCAAAAUUCUUGCAUAUAGUGCAUUUAAUAACGGUAACUGCCAUCCACGAGCAAGCAAACUUUUCACUUUUGUUUUUUUCUUUAAUAUCAAUUCUUGCAUAUAGUGCAUUCUACGCAUAUUUGACACAGUAUUCACACUUAUACCAAAGUAUAGGUCAAUAUAAGAAUUGAAACUCGUAUCAAUCAGUUCUUCCUUUUUUUAGUCCCUUAUCAUUCAGUUCUUCAUCUAUCAAAAGGAUAGAACUUGUAAAUGCUAUGUGGACCACAACAUCAAACUUGCAUCUUCGUACUCAUCUCCCAUUGCAGUAAAAGAAAAAACCACCAACCAAAUUAUCUGUAAAGUGUCAAUUACUAUUCGUAUAUAGACUAUUUUCUUAAUGAUACCUCCCAUUCAGUUUAGCGUCUUUCUGGCCCUAGGGCCUAGGCAAUUCUCUGCUUUUUCAAAUGUUUCUAUUUUGCCCUGCAUUGCAUAUACAUAUCACACUAGGAAUGCUCAAUUUAAUAGGAACCUUUAUAUAUUAUAAGCAGUCAAUCAACACCUAAUUCAAUGUUAAAUGCAAAACCGCAAACUCUUGC
rnacentral:lncRNA from 1 species